GGGAGAUUCGCAUCAUGGAUGUGCAGCCGACAAAUCUGCGGCAACUGUGUGAUGCCAUCAUGUCAAUAUGGACCAAGCUCUCUGAGGAAUGCUUCCAGCACCUUGUUGAAUCUAUGCCACGAAGAAUUGAGGCAGUUCUGAAGGCAAAAGGGGGUCCAACCCGUUACUAGCAUGGUGUACCUAAUAAAGUGGCCGGUGAGUGUAUAUAUCUGUGUCUGUUGGACAAUAAUCAGUGGUUGUUGCUUAGAAAUAUGUCACAACUAGAAAAGAACUCUGAGAGCGCAGACCUCCGCCAAGCAGCUCGUGUCCCCCCUUCUCACACCAAAACUUUUACAGUUACGUGUCUUUUAUUAACUUUUAUUUGUGUUUAAACUGGUAUUUUCACUGUUCAUAAUGUUCCUAAAACAACAAAGCUCAUAUUAGAUACAAAUAUUGCAUAAUAAAUCAUGCAUUUAUGUAAGCGCACACUUCCUUGUAUCUUCAUUGGUUAUCUUUCAGCAUUGAAAAUUCCAACGACACCCUUAUUUUUGUGUGUUCUGGAUCACAGUAUCCAGAAUUUUGUCUGGAUCAGGAUCAACCUUUGACAACUCAUAAAACUCAUUGAGAUCCUUUUGUGUAAUUUUUUACUAAAGACUCUGGCCAUUUUUUACAGAGUUAAAUGCAAAAAUUCCAAAAUUUGCCCUAUCUCACAAUGAUCAAGAAUCCUUCAAAAAAUUCCUGGAUCCAGAAGGUGAUCCGGAUCAUCACCAAAAUGUAAUGGGAUCCUCCUGGGGCUGAGACGCACCUCUGGUGAAAAAUUCAGGUCAAUCUGUCAGUUACUUUCUCCGUAAAGUUUCUAACAGACAAACAAACCAACGCUACCGAAAACAUAACCUCCUUGGCGGAGGUAAUGAGAUGCAAAAAUAUCUAAAUUCACAGCCAAUGCACUGAACUACAAGUCAAGUCCCAAUGAGCUGAUCAGUGUGCUGGAGGCAGAAGAACAUGUGUGCGCCUUAUCCGUACAUGGAUGUUUCUUUUACCAUAAUGUAAAGCUAUGGAAAUGUUCUAUACAGAGUCUACACUUUAAAGUGACAUUAAUGUUAUGAUUUGACUUUCUUGAAAUGAUCUGAACUCAUUGAUCUCUAUUGGGGAAAUCUUUGGUCAUAACAGCUGUAUGUGAUGGAUAUAGAAGGUACAGCAAAGGUAUGAAGAAGCAGAUAAACACGGUGCAUGAACUGCUCAAUUAGUCCUUUUCAAGUCUUUGGACGUCUCAAAGUGCUUAUAAAUUACAUGUUGCAUUCACCUUUUCUCAAUCACAUUCAAAUACUGAUGGCAGGGGGCACUACCUUAAAUGUCAGCGCUAAUUAUGGUCCCAUUUAUUCAGAUAAAAAUGUCUAUCUAUGCUUUUGCAAUCUGGUGACAACUGUCUUGUUCGAAGACACUCAAAAAUGUAGACUGCAGAGACUAGAAGACAAAAUGCUAACUUAAGAACUGAGACAGCCCACUUUACCGUCAUGCCACAGUCGAAUGGUUGAAUUGGUGAAUGGAUGAGUCAACUGCGGUGGGAUAUUUGUGGCUUUUAAGCAAACAAGAGUUGACAUCACAAAGAAGACUGGCAUGGCUGAGUCAUAAUAAAGGUCUGAAAAACAAGUAGAUAGAUAAAUGGAAAACAUAAAAUAGAAGAGUGUUUGUGAAUGUCCAAGCGACGUUAAUAAACAAGAAAAGAAGGGUAGAAUAUUACUUUGUCAUAACCGGACAGGUAAUUUUCGUAGCAUUUGAUUUGCAACAAUAAAAGUAUCUCAAUAAAUUUGCCAAUCAUUCACUCUCUCAUUGAAUCCGUCUGUCCACAUUGAUAUUCUCCAGACAUCUUAAUAGAAAGGAAGCACUGAUCAAUCCCACUCUCCAAUCAAACAUGAGAUGCAAAUGAGCAGCCAAACGAUUCAUUAUUUUUAAUUCUUCAUCUGAUUUUGGGGGGAAUUGUGUUUGCUGAACAAUGAAAUACUUAUUAGCAUCCCAGACAAAAGACAUAGUGAGUGACAGGAUUAUAUUUAAACAAAGCCAGUGGUUAAUCACUUCUCUCUGCAUGAGGGCACACAGCCUAGUAUUUGUUCUUUAUCUCUAAUUAAACAGAAUUACAUUUCCUGACACACUGUAAAAGCCUGGGCGGGUUUCAGACCUAACAACAAACUAAUGCACAACAUUUUCGAGGAAAUGGGGUUCACAGAGGUAAAACACAAUCAAAUAGUCAGAGUCAUCCACAAAAGGCUAUGAGACGCUGUCAUGGCUCAGUGUGUAGUGCCUCUUAAACUGCAGCUGACAAAUAAAAACCUUGUUUUCAAUAGUUUCAAGCCUUUUAGUAAUAUACACUGCUGCCUCCCGCUGCUUGUAAAUUGCCAUUUAGCACUACUUCAGCUUUACUUUGCUGCUUUUGAUUCAAGCCACUUAAUUUUCACAAACAACAUAUUACAAAUGAGUAUGCUUUGUGCAACCCUAACACGUCACAUAUGUACCACUUAAGUUGUUAAAUCCCUGUAAGUAUUGUUAAUGUGUAAAAGUAUAGGCUGUUAUAGAAAGCUUGACAGUAGAAAAAAAUGGAUGGUAGGAAAUACUGUGUUCUUUAAACGCCUUAAUUUUACAGAUUUCGAGGCAUGACCUGGGGCUUGAUUUUACUGAUUAAUUUGUGUUUGUUGAUAAAGAUGAUUUUUGAAACUAAAACCCUAGAUUUUGUCUUCAACUUCCUCCAUCAAUUAUCUUGGGCUCAUAGACUGUAUAUAAAAUGGACAGCGUCUGCUACGUCACUGGGUGAAGCCACACUCAGAACAGCACCCUCUGUUGACAGGCUGCAGUAUAGGUCAUAAAUCCCGCCUCUGCCAGCCAUCCUUAUGAAGGUGUGGACAAACUUUAGAAAUUUAUUACACAGAAUAUAAACUUUUUCUCCACCCUGCUUGUGAUGUGACAUGUAGUUAAUAAGGCAGAAUCAAGUUGUUCAUUCUAUAUACAGUCUAUGCUUGGGCUGCAGCGGAUGGAAUCCUCCCUGCAAAGUUUGAACAAUCAAUAUAUUUCAACAUAGGCAUGCAGGUGGGUGGGAUGAGAUGCACAAGAUCCCUGCAGCCCCCAAACACUCAUUAAAAAGCAGACAACUUUACUGCCAUGAUUUUUCCAUUGUUUGACAUAUGACAAGAAAGGGACACGUGGAAAGCUACCAAUGAUGCAGUCUGAGGAUAUCAUAUUUUAUUUUUACUUGAUAAAUAACCCUAUCUUCUGGCAAGCAGCUGGCUAAUUGUAAGAGGCUUCAGUGUAGGCAAAUGUCAGGUCCAAGAUUUAAGGUCCAUCUGUGCACAAUGCCAUGAUGACGAGCCUUAUUUUCUUUGGUCUGGACCCAAGGGUUUAGUAUGAUGCUUUGUGCAUGCUUCACGUAGGAGGUGAGUUUGCUGCAUGAUGGCUACAAGGCAAUGUGAUUUUCAUUUCGGUAUGUUAAAGGGAUAUUCCAGCGUAAAAUUAAUUUAGGGUAAAACACAGCAUAACACAGAGUUAGACACCCCCUCAGGCAAAUCCAUUACGGACUACAGCGGGGUGACGCAGCUCAAGGAAGAACAUUUAUGAUCAUUUCUUCAUGGAAAUGCAAUAAGACCAAGACGCUAAGGCAGAAGAACUACCACGUCUGCAGUGCAAAAUGAUUAUGAUGAUGAUUAUUACUUCAAGGAAAUGAUCAUAAAUGUUCUUCCUUGAGCUGUGUCACCCCACUGUAGUCCGUAAUGGACCCACCCGAAGUCUUGCUACAAACAAGCGGCUGCUGGAAGAGAGUGGGUGAGUUGUGUUUAGUCUUUGUCUUUGCUAAAGAAAUCGGGCAAAGUUAAAAAGAUCUUUGGUGGCUAGUGCUGUGGCUGGGACCCUAUAUGUACUGUUGAUGAAGUUAGAAGCUGUUCUGAGCAUUAUUUGUGGCUAUAGAGUGGCGUUUUGGUUGAGGUUUGUUUAUGGCUCCUCAGACCGCUGUGUAUUGCUAUCCUGCGGUCGUUACUAAAGUUGGUAAGCAGAGAAGCAAGCGGUCGGCAACAUUAAUCUCUCGAGGGGGUGUCUAACUCGGUGUUAAGUGUGUUUGACCCUAAAUUAAUUUCACGCCGGAAUAUCCCUUUAACAGACAUGAUCACUGAAGCUGCUGGCAUCUCAUGAGCAGGAAAUCUAGGGAAUGGGAGAACUUUCUAUUUCUUUUCCACAAACUGAGUUACACAUAAAUCUUGGUCAAAAUAGACAGAAAAACGUUUAGUUGAGAGUUUGGCUUCAUAUCAUUCAUUCAUUUAUGUUACAUGUUUGUAAAAUAAAGUAGAGCAAAGUUAUGCAGCCAACAUACUUCCUGUUUAAAGUACCAGUAGGUGGCAAAGCUGUACCUCCAUUCUUAUAUAAAACAUUCAUAAUUCAUUGGAUUACCCGGAUUAGUUAGCAAUAUUUGUUUUGGAAAAAGAAAUGCCAAUCAAAAAGUUUUCUGAGUAGACUGUUCAUGUUUUCGUCUGCAAAUUAUACACUUACACUGAGAAGUCACACUUUAUCUUGAGGUGUAUGGAUAACCUGUCAGUCUGCAAUUGCAAGCAUCACAUGUUUUUGCUUGGUAAUAUUAAGAGGAGUUAUAAAUAUUUCAGGCUGUUGACAGCAGUGAGCGCAAUAUAUGAAUAAAAGCUGCUCCAAAAACAAAUAGCUUCAGAGGAAUAUUACAAGGUCGUGUCUCGAGUUGAAGUGCAGAAUAAAUACACAAGAUUUUUCAGUGCUUCCUUUGAGUUUAUCUGUUCUGAAUGCCACACAGGAAGCUGAAUUUGUACAGUGAAUGGUGAUGGAUAAGGUGUGACAGAGAGGUGACUAAUAGCACUCCGUCACAAAGGUGGCAUCCAAAUCAAGCAGCCCCUUGAAUGACAAGGAGUGAUAGAACGCCUCAGAUCAAAACGGUUGAUAUUCAGUGCCUCGCAUGGAGCCAACACACAUUUAUCACUCUCAGUGAUACUGUCUCCUCCUCAUCCCCAGAUGAACCUGAGAUGAGUCAUUUCCCACAGAGCCACACAACCAUGCCUAGAAUCUAAAGGAAACCAAAAAGAAAACUAAACUUGACAUAUAUUCAACAGAAAAACAUGACAUGACGGUUCAAGAGAGUUAAUCAAUAUGUGGUUUAAUGCAACGAUAUCUUCAUUUUACUCUUGUGAAAUAAUCUAUAGGGGGUUUGCCUCCUAUUAAGCUCUAAGGUUUCAAGGAUCUGGGACACGGCCAGGGGUCGGUUGAUCAAAUUCUAAGAUAAUUUUCCCUUGAUUUACACCAAUGAGAACUUGAAUGAUUUUUCCACGUAUUGAUCUAAACACGGUUGAUAUUUCAUGUCAACUGGCUUCUGAAUAGAUCUGAAGGAUAAUGGUGAUAUUUUAACAAAUCUGCCUUAUUUUUGUACCUAUUUUUGGGGUCUGAACGUUAUAAACUUUUACAGCCAACAGCUGGAAAACAUGCUGUAAUGGCUGAGAAUUAGGAACGUCAGUGCCAACCAUGGCUUACACAGAAGCUUUGUCAGCGAUAUCACCAGUUGGUUUAUAAAGCAGAAUUCUGGAGUCUAUCCAGGAAAUUGCUUUACUGGAAAUGCUGACUCUACUUAACUUAUGGUCAACCCAACAAGAGACUAACAGUCGAAGUAUGCCCACCUGUCAUUCAAGUCAGGCAUGCCCUGAGUUAUGAUAAACUUGCAACCGUAAUAUCGUAAAAAAGGAUGUGCAGAAAGAUCAUUGGACUGUUCAGACCAAAAUAAUAAUAAUAAUAAUAAUAAAAUAAAUAAAUAAAUAAAACAAAAUAAAAUCAAUAAUAAUAAUAAUAAUAUAAGAAACAUGUAUUUUUGGUGGAAAUAUGGGCUUUGUAGAAUGGCUUGUUUGGUGUCUGGGGCUUUUUUAGACAGUCUCUAGUGGACACCUAUGGAACUGCAGUUUUUGGCACUUGGGCGUUUGCCUUAUUUCUUUACAGUGGAGGUUGCAGCUUUGUGUCAACACAUUACACAUGAUUAAAAAAAUACCUUUUUAAUCACCAAAUUAUUGUUUUACGUCACUGGGCAGCUGCAUCACAAAAAGGUGUUAAAGUCAAAGCACUAUUUUGAAGUGUGUGAGUUGCUUUAGACCUGUAAAUGAAAGUAAAUCAAGGCCGUUAUGAGCGCUAGCUGAAAGGGUGGCAAUUUACCACAGGCCAGUCACCACUUUUGAGACUCAUCAUGUUGUAAUAUGCCGAAAUAGGCCGUGUCACACAUAUAAGACCUGUAUUAAAUAGAAUAUUCUCAAACUGGAACUGUUUAUAGUGAGGUACUUUUGGUUUGUGUCAAUUUUGGUGCCCCUUUAGAAAAAGCUGUCCUUGCUUAUCGUGUCCUCUAAAUGCCUCGGAAGUGUCAUCUGAUGGAAAAUUUUACCCUCAGAAUUAGUGCACACCAAACAAACUCUGAUUUGACAUUUUGUACAUGCACUUCAGUUUCUUAAUAUUCCUCAAGGAUAACACUUUAAAACAUUAAGACUUAAUACUAAGGUCUUGAAAGGUUUCUCAUUCUACCUCUGACAUGGUGCAGCAUUUGUUUGAAUAACAAACCUAAUAUCCAAAAUCAUGAAAUAUUUUUCACUCAAUUUCCAAAUGAAGAUACUGGUAAGACGAAAUUCUGCAAAUCAUUGUGUUUCAAAAAAUGAAUGGCCUUUUAGACCCACUGAAAGUUUUCUUUCUGGGGCAUCUAAAGUUCAGUUUUUUGCAAACACAGACAUGGGUGGUUAAUCUGAGUAUUUGCUAUUAUAACAGAAAACAUCACUAUGAAAUAAUAAUGCAUUGUCUAGAGACAGCAUUAACAAUAUUGACUUCAAAUCCACCUGACUUCACUGAUUGAAUCAGUUCAUUUACAUUGCAGAUCUAUUGUGGGGGAUUAUUGGCAAUCUGGCAGUCUAGUGCUGCUAGUUAUUUGUAAUAUAUUUGACAUUUCCAUCUCCAAAUUGAGCAUUUUUUGAAUUUUAUAUUCUUAAACAAACAUUUCAACAACAAGAACUUUUAGUAGAUGUACAUUGCACCUAACUUUACACUUUAUUAUACACGUUUUACUGCUGCUGGCUAAGGCAAGCCACUGGAAUAAGUUCAAAAUGUUUAAACGGUAAUAAUAAGACCAAAAAUACUCCAAAAACAGCCCAUGGUUAAAAAACAGAUAUUCUCUUUAAUUAUAAAAGAAAUAUUCUACAUCAAAUGCGCUCUGAUAUUCUCUGAUAUUAAAUUAGAUAGGCAUCAAACACCAGGUCCGACCACAUAAUUUGAUAACCUCUAGCUCUUAUGAGUCUACACAAGAAAUUCUAUUUCCUGAUGUUUCACUUUUUAAUUUCUGCAUUUACCAACCUCUGUGACGAGACAAUUAGGACGAAACUGAAAAUUAGAAUUCCUUCACACUCUCAAAGGCUUCUCUCACAUGAGACUGCCGCGUGACACUCCAUGAAUCUAUUUAAAAACCUGUGAAUAAAAAGAGAUCACCAUCACCAUCACCAGCAGCAGCAGCACAGUGCACCACCAAUUAAUGGACAGCAGGGAUCAAAGAGAUUAGCUGUAUACAUCUACUGUAAGCCAGUGUAGUGCUUUUCACAGUUCACACCUUCCACCUUUGAAAUCACAUUUUCUCCCUGCGAUGAUUGAUGCACUACAUGAUCGGAGCUGAUAGGACAUCUCCUUGGAUUCGCUCGGGUAUUAGACAUAUUGACAAAAAAAAAACCCUGCAGCAAUAGAACAGUGCCCUUCCUAAACCUGGUUCAGACUAUGACUUAUGUAGAUGAAAAAGACUUUUAUUUGCGUUUAUAAAAAAUAAAAUCAGGGUUCAUAUGGCAAAUGACAGAAAGCACUGAAGCAUGUGUUGAAGCUACAUGGACGUCCUAGAUGAGGGCUUUGAUUUGCUAAUGCUUUACUAAACAACCCCAGAUUGUUUGAAAUGGACUCAUGAAAAGCAGCGUAAAAAAAAUAUUCUCAAACAUAAGUGACCACUCUAUUUCUAAAGACACUUAAUCAAGAAGAAAACUGUCCUCUGGAUGGAUUUAGCAUAAUUCCACAGUUAAUCUCCUUUUACUCUAAGGUGCCUGAUUAACAGCAACAGAUACAGGCAAAAAUCUCAACAGUGUCAGCUUGUCUUACUAGAAACAGCUGUGCUCUACACUGAAGUGAUAAAGUAGUUGCAUAAAGCAAUCACUCCUAUCAGAUAUUCUUUCCCCUGUAUAGAGGAAGUAAAGCGUCUCUCUAAAAGGCAGCGAACCACACAACAGCAGCAUGGAAAACAAGUCAAGCUAUUAUUGAUAAUUUCUUGCUUACUUAUAGGUUUUUAUGUUGAGUAAAGUAGAUAUAUUAAAGUCAAAUGAUGAAGGCUUGACAAAUAAUGAUAGAUAUUAAAAACAAGACACAAUAAGAAAAAGAAAAGUGGAUGUCUAUGUCUCCGUUUUGUUCGCUUGUUUAUACUUAGGGCAGGGAGGGUCAAGGAUUUACAUUCUUAUCAAUCUUUGACGAGUUAUCUAGCGUUUACCUGUGAGCUGAGUCCCCAUUUUCACUUCGGUCCCCCAUAUCCAUCAACAGAACCAUCUGCUAUGCAUGUUUCAUGUUAACAAGCAGGGGCGAGUCCAGACCUUUUUGACUGUGGGGGCCAAGCUUCUACACUUACACCAAUGAUUUAUAGUGUUGUGUCGUUCAUGAAUGUUUUGUUCAAAUGAACAGAACUGCUGAGUGAACAACGUGACUGGAAUCAGUCCAAGACCUGAUUUUUCCUUUCUCAGUUCAGUUGAGCUCAGCCGCAAGCCUGGUGUGCCGGUCGGGAGUGAAACUGCCGCCUUUGACUCUUUGGCGAUCGACACACAGUCAGCCAGCCAGCCAGCAGGUGGGUGGCGGAGUCUCGCGAUUUGCUCACAGCAAAUGAACGAUAUGUAUCAGUCAGACUGUGAACAAAACGAACAACUUCAGAAUGACUUGAGGCAGGCAGAGGAGGCAGGUGUAGCGUUGUUCACUUACUGCUGAACACCGGUUUGUUCACUGAGACUAAGAUAAAACAGUGCAUUAUAGUUUCUUUACAUUAAUACACAUGUAUAAAAUUCCUGCAAGAAGGAUUUAAUUUCAGCCGAUUUAAAGCAGUAACCUAUUUGAUAUCUUUAAAAGUAGCAGAAUCCCCGCUACAGCUGCAGUGUUUAUUUAUUUUUAAUUACUCCACUUUUCCGCGAUAUAAAAAAACGACGACACACAAUCGUUUAGCGGGUGUGCUGCUUGCUGCUGUGUUGUUUCUGCUGACGGCGACACACAGAGAGGUGAGUUUUUCAGGACAGGGGAGUGAUUCUUCCUUCAGGACUUGGCGAAUAAACGACAUGUGUCAUCCAGUGAACGAUGCUAUUAAACAGCAGUAGGGGAGGGGAGGGGAGGGGCUCAUUCAAUGAAUGAACUCGCGGCUGUGUCACUCACUGGUGUACUGCACCAGCAGGACAGGGUUCCAAAAGACUGACUGAUUCUGGGAAGAAUCUUUUGAAUGAAUUGUUUUAAUAAACGGAUGCUAAAGAUUCAGAAUAGUCAAAAGAACUGUUUUUCCAUCACUACUGAUGUAGCAUAAGGUAAACAAGCCUAUAACGUCUAUUAUUCCAUCUGCAUUGUAACAUCUGCCAUCUCUAAUAAAGGAAAUAGCUAAAUAAGAUGUUUAGGAAUUUUUCAACAUAUUGUUCAAUGUUUGGGGGAAGACAAAAAAUGUUGAAGCUAAACUAAAAACUAAAAACUAAACUAUAAAUCGAGCUUUAACUUUUGAGAGGCUUUUAAUUGAACAAAUUUAAGUGGGGUUACUUGUCAAUAGUAAGUGCAUUUCCGUCAGAGGAUGCUGGUUGGCUCAGCUCCUUUGUUCAGAAACCAGCUGUUGGACCUUCGAUGGCAGCUAUACAAUCAACCCCUGCAGAUGGAGUCAGCUCUACCACAUCAUUUAGAUAAUUAUAAGACACUCUACCCAAACACUACUCUUUCUGUAAGUGUGCCUUUAGUUGUAAAUUUGUUGGUGCUUGACUUUGCUGUCAGAUCGCCCAUUUGUUUUUUGUUUCACUUUUCUCAGAAGCAACAUGCAAGUGUUCUUCAGCUGUGAAAAAUAGGGACACUUUGUCUUGCUCUAUUUAAUGGAAAAGGUGACCAUGUUUGAAACAAGCAGAUCUGUUUUUGUUUUGUUGUUGUUGUUGUUGUUUACUUUGUUUUAAAUCAACAUUUUACAAAGUGUUCCUGAUAUGUUCUGGUUUUUAAUUUUUUUCCUGGUUUUGUGUUUCCCUGGAGUGUUUUUUCUUUUUGAUUUUUCCUAGUGUUUCUGUUCCCCAUUGUUCCUGUUCCCCUGUAGUCCUGUCUUGUGAGUUUUCAGUUUGUGUGAGACCCCAGUUCCCUCAUGUUCUCAGUGUUUUAUUCCUAAAAUAAGUGUUCAGUGUUUCCUGUUUUAUUUUGCAGUAGCCUAUUCCCUGUGUUUCUAGUCAGUUUUCCCUCCUCUGUGAUUGUUUGCACCUGUGUCUUAGUGUCUCACCUGCCUCUCGUUGCUCGUUUCCCUGUUUAUAUAUAGCCCUUGUCUUCCCCUGUUUCUCUGUUGGUUCAUUUGUGUUGUGUGUGGUUUGCGUUGUAAGUCAGUGUCUCAAGUGUCUCCAGUGUCUUUGUGGAUUUUGGAUUUUUGGUUCAGUUGGAUUUUGCCUCUUGUGUUUUUUGGGAUUUUUGAGUUGGACAUUUGGAAAGUAAGUUUUUGUUGUUUUUAGUGCCUUUGAAAUAAAUCUGUUUUCAUUCUGCAUUUUGGGUCCUUCCCUUUUUUUUGUUUUACUGUAGGGUUGUGAUUCUUUUCACUGUUACAGGGUUUUGACUAUAUACAAUAAAGUAUUUUACAAAGCUGAGUACUUGUAAAGUACACAUACAGUGAUUCAUCUUUGAACUUGUUCUGUCUUACCUACGAAUAACAUUUUAUGCAUUCUUCUUCAAAAGACUUGAGGCAAAACACUGAUUUCAGCUUUUCAUUUGGUUAUGUCCCCCACAGCUCAUAUGAACAACUCACUUAAUGUCUAACAGGAGCCAUGACUUGUGGUGGUUCAGCACAAAUAGCAAAAGCUGCAGCCUUCAAACAAGCAAUUCAGCACUGAGGUAUGCAAACUAACGAUAAGGUAUGAGUUCCAAUAAGAGUGCAAUGCAUGGGAAGUACAGCGGGUAAUGGGCUGAAACAAAAUCAGUGCAGUCACUUUAGAUGCAAACAGCAGGCAAACAGAAGGAGAGCGAACGGUUAAUGCGACUUCAAACAGUCUGAUGAGACACAACUCUUGCCAUAACAGCGUCCAUGAGCACGCUUAUUCCCUACAAUUCACUGCAGCAUUAGUGCCAUUACAAUAUAAAGGUGUUAAUGGCAUAGAUAAUUUGAUUGUUUAGAUGUAUUAAAGUAGCAUCCAGAGGGUACAUGGGGACAUUUCCAUAUGCAGAGGUGAUUUUUAUAGCUGGAGUACAAGCAAUGACAGCCAGAAAAGCUCCAGCACUGUACAGACUGAUGGGUCUCUUUCUAUUUCUCUCUGGUGUCAUUGUAGGGACAGCUUUGAUGUUCAAUUUUUAAAUGUGCCAAUGUCAAUCGACUGACACCCAAAGGUGAGCCAGAGUGGCAUCAAAUGAUGACAGUAUGAGGAUCUCAAUCAUUAACUGCAAGAAUCAAUAAGGAAGAGAAUCUAUAUUAAAGUCAUUAAAACUGACUUAGUACGCAGUAAAUUCAGUCUGGAUUUGACUAAAGCUGCUUUGAAAUGUAAGGAUAUUAAAGGAAGACUCGAGGUAUAAUACAUUCACAUUUCCAGCAUACCUCCCUUCACAGUCUCAGGUCUUUUUUAAAACCUAUUUUUACUCCACAAACAUUAUAGAACAAACCUAAAACAAAGAGGAGGAGGUUAUAUAACUGCACUUGUUUUUUUAUAGACUCUGCUGUGAACACAGUUUUAAAAGAGGAAUAUUUCAGUAUUGAUCAUUUUUAUUACACAUACCUAUGUAACCAUGUUGUUUGCUGAAUAAAUGCAAGUGUUCAUGUCGUCCAUUUUGGGGACUGCAGUCAAAAACAAACAGGUGAAAACUCGACAAAAACACGUCAGAAGAAAUUAGUUUGAAAAAAGAAAAAAAAGAAAACUACAACUAACUCAAUUUCUGGCAUUGCUUUUAUCACUGGUACUCAUCCAGCAAACUCGUAUGUUAAAAUACACACAGACUGUGCAAGUCGAGGCUGUUUCUGACCUAAUUUUUGGGUUGCAUGACUGAUUUCGAGGUCAGGCUUCAUUGCAUGUCAUUUGCCAUGCAGUUUAAAGGGGAGCAUUGGGGUAGAUUGCACACAGACAUGCUGCUUCUGCCUGAUGGGAUGAAAUUCUGGUAUGACAGAACUUUUAGUCAGCCUCAAAUUCACUAUUGUGAUUUUUUCCCCCAAACUGCAUCUGUGUAAAAUGGUAGACAGCAUCUGAAUGCAUCAUGGAAACAUACAGUACUGUGUGGGAACAAAUAGCAACCACCCGUAACCCUUUAAGCAGAUAAUGUUUCCUUUCUUGACAAGGAGUAAGAAAUAUUCCCAUACUUAAUGUAGCAGAUGUGAAUGCUUAGUUUAACCCUGUAUUAUACAAGAAGUAUAGCUCUGUUUGGAAUUAGUUGUGUGCGUAAGAGUGCAUGGAAGGGCAAGGAAGUGACAAAAGGUGAGCAGUCGAGUUUGUGCAAAGAUAAUAAAGCGUGCAACUUCUCAAAAAUAUGCUGCAAGUAAAGUGAGAGGGAGUUAACCACAGAGUUAGUAUCAACUAGAGCACAGGAGCAGACCAGUAAGACUCCUGUGUGCUUUCUGACUAAGGUCGGGACGCAAAAGCAGGAAAGAUUAACACCUCAUUAAAGUAAUGACCAAAAUACCAUACCUUUAAAACUAAAAACUGAAAGAGAUAAGCUCAAAGAGGAACUAACUACAAAGACCGAAAGUGCCAGUUUAGCUCCUAGUUGUUUGUCCUCUGUCCUGAUUUCCCAAGUAUACUGUGAGCACUCAGCUCACACUUAAAAAAUGAACUUUAGCACUUUUGGUACAUUUUAGUCACCCAAAAAAAAUGGUUCACAUUCCAUAUUCAGCAUCUUAACACUGCCACUAAAUGCAGAGGGGGUAUUUCAUUGUGAAACAAACUGUCACUUUGCUGUGCAAGGCAGACCAGGCUGACAGAGCACACUGCAGAAUGUAAAGGAAGUCAUGGCGGGGACACCGUUUGAACCUUUACUUCUCUCAUAGCCCGCUAAAAAUGGUGCAACUUGUCUUCAGGAAUUAGCAGCACUUGCGAGCUAUAGUUGUGUAUUGUAAACCAUUUAUUCUGCUUUUCUGCCACACCAUUCAUAGAAUUGCAUGUUGUAUGUCUGGAGACUGACUCAAAUGACUAUUAUAUCCAGCUAUAGGAUAAAUAUAGUAUUUACUUUUACAGUUAAAACGGGGAUAGCCACUGUUGAGUUGUUAAGUCAUGAUGGUUUUGAUUUACUCCUGAAGAAAAAAGACAGAAAGUCUUAUUCUUUUUUGACCUCUUUUAUCCUGCAAAUACUUUCCCACUUUAUUGCAACUGUAAAAACAUAGUAUCACUGUCAGACAUGAGCAUUUAGUCCUGAGGUAGCUGGUAGCUGUAAAAGGCAGCAAAAAUAAAUAUAGUUUCUGCUGUAGCUGCUUUUCUGCUUUGCUGUAGAGAUCAUGGGAAAACGCUGGUAUUGAUUUUAGUCUGAGUCAUGGCCGGCUUAAAAAAGAAAAAUCCUCACUUAAACUUACCUGUACAUGAGUAUUCAGUUUUAGACAAAUAUUUAGUCUUAUCCACUACUUUUCAAAAACUUUCCGUACAGUUUCAAAACUGACGCUUAGGGGGGCUUUGUCUCCCACUCACUGAUGGUGAGGGAAUCAUUUCAGCAUGGGAUCAACUAUGUGUGUCUAAUUGUUCCUUAUUAAGACCAGGUGUGGGAAGCUCAUACCCUCGGGUGCCAGUGCUCCAUGCUGACUCAUUAUCUCACCAUCAGAGGUAUCAAGUGGAUUUUUUAGUGUUUGUUCUUGUUGCGUAGGGGUGUCGGCAGAGGCACCACUAAAACCUCUCUGGUACCAGGCGAGUCUUUUCUAGCUUCUUGUGUUUCUCUGUCCCAAGGCAUCCCUGGCUUUUUGUGUUUUAGUUCAGGGGCUUAUACUUGGUCUCCCUUAAAGUUUAGUUUCCAGUCAGCUGCUCAGCAGGGGUAGUUUGGAUAGUUUAGUUUAGUUCCCACUCCUCUUGACUUCAGAAGUGUAUUCUACGAUUCAGCGCUGCAGCUUUUUCACUCAUAAGGAAAUAUUGUGAAGCCCUUUCAUAAUCAAGUUUGGUGCUGAUAAUGUCUAUUUCUGUCCUCACCUCUCUUUCUAAAGACAUUUGACACUGAUUUCAACUUAAACAAGUGAUUCAGGUAUUCCAUAUAUAAUGUUUGGUUAUGUCAGUGAAGUUUCCUUUGUUUUUAGCAUAUUCAUGUCAUUUCAUGUCAUGUCUUUCCUGUUUUAUUUUGAAAUCACUAAACCCUGUCUCUGUUUCUAGAUUUGCACCCCUGUCAUGUCACACCUGCAUCCUGAUUGUCUCUCCCCACCUGUUUCCCAUCACCCUCAUUGCCUCGUGUAUUUAACCUCAUGUCUCUCGCUGUCUCCUCUCCAGUUCAUUGUAUUUCACUGUCCUCGUUCCAUCACUGUUUGUCAUAAUCAUAGACAUUUCCGUGUUUGAGCGUCCCUGUUUUUUUGCCUCACGCUUUUCGAAUACAUCUGCCUGUUCUGACUGAAUUCCUGUGUACCAACCUCUGCUUGUUGUUUGGCAUUUGUGUCCUGUCGCUCUGUUGCCAUGAUCAUAACAGGGACAUUUUCCAGAUACUUGGAGCUUAAAAUUGAAUGCUGCUUUUCCGUGUUUAGUUCUGAUAUUGGGUACAGAAAGCAGACCUGUCCCAGACCACCUGAGCUGUAUGGAUAGUUUGUUAAUCUUAGAAAAUCACUGAUGUAUUUUGGCCUGGAAGCUGCUCAUUGCUUUUCAGUUCUCUUCCUUAUUAUGGUUUAACUGAAGAAAAUUAAGGUAUAUCCACACAUUGAUUUGUACGAGGCACUUAAUCAGGGCUUGAACAGGGCUAUGGAUCACCUGCUUACAUUGUUAAGUACAUCUGUUGGUAAUCUGACUUGUGUUAUUUUAGGCCAGUGGGAACAUGUGGAUAUCAAACAGAAAAGGCUCCGGGAUAGAGCCUUGGGGAACUCCACAUUUAAUUUGUGUCCAUUCAAAUGUGAAGUUAGAGGAAGACACAAAGUAGUUUUGAUUGAUUUGAAUCACUUGAGUACUGUGCCGGGAAGUCUCCAGUUCUUAAAGGCAUAACCUACUUGGCAAAGUAAGGAUGGUGAUCAAUUAGGUAAUGUCUGGCAGCCAAAAUACCAAACACCCAGCUAGCAAAGCUCCCCUCCUUCUUGCAGAAACAAAGAGACAUCUAAAGUACUUGGAAGACCGAAUCUACUCUGAGGACAGACAAUUCAACUCAUGUUCACACCAUUGAAAGACACUUAGACCAGACCUGCAACCUUGGAAUCCACCUGCUUAUGCAAAGAAAACAAGAUCCUCAAACUUAGGACCGACAACCUGUUAUAAUUAGUCUAAAAUAUAGAUAUUCUCAAGUCUUAACAAUGUUCAUAUGUUCAUUAUUUGCCUGACACUGUGAGAUGGCAUUUAUUAUUCGGUUUGAACAGUUGUCUGAGGUACAACACAACAGCAAAAAUAUAUAUUUCAGCAGUGCUGUUUAAUGUUCUGCAUGAUUACCUCUUCCCCUGCAGUCUUUGCCGACAUGUUUAGCCAAUAUGCAUCUGUUUUCCCCUGCUGAGAGUCUUAGGACUUAGAGGAGGUUUGGAGGAAUGGAUUAACUGAGAGGGAAAUGGGGCUGUGAUGGGAUGAGAUGAGGCAACAGCAGGUGCUGAGGAGGCAGACCGUCUGAUAGAAGCUCCUCUGGGACCGUCUGUGCAUUAGUGCGUCCCGUAGUGGUAAAUGUGUCCCUCUGUCUGUACAGGUAGAUAGCUCCGAGAGAAGAACUCAGUGUUUGGCGCCUUGUGACGAAGAAGUCUGGUCUGUGUUCUGGAUCACUUGUUAAGCUCUCAACAUAUGCAUUACCCCAGGGAGAUACACACCAGACAGUGAGUCACGUAUAAAUAAAGCACGAUGAAUGCAAAUAGAGAACACUCUCUGGAGGUUUUAACAGGUGAGAUGAGUGAUUAAAGAGGCUUUGAAUACCAUGUCUACAGCUAAAUGUGCAGAUUAAAGCAUCGGAGAGAGAGAUGGCAUCAUGGGAUGUGACACGUAUAGUGAGUGCCUGUAGUUAGCUGUGUUGUAGGGAUCCCACAGGUACAACAAUAAAAGAUCAUUUGAAGAAUAAAGCAGUGAAAUCUACCUCACUUUGCACGACUAGAAGAUCCCUCAUUCUGCCAAUCCAGCUGAAUGAAAUCCACCUCAGGGGAACAAAUGCAGUGAUUUAUUUUUAAAUGUUUUCUCAGGUGGGACUGAUAAACAUGCCAAAACCCAAUGAAACACUCCCUUCCCUUGGGGAGUGUUUAGGGGACUUUCCUCAGCGCACUCUGGGAACAACUUUAGUCUGUCAUCUGUUGUUUCCUUGAUCCAUACUUCACCCGAAAGUUGUUCAAUAUCUGCCAACUUGACGGCCCUCUCAUUUGCAUAAUACUAAACUGUUCUCUGGGGAUAGCAGAGGUGAUGGGUGGGGAGACCUUGAAGAGCCAUUAACAGGUCCACCCAAGAGGAACCUUUACAAAAGUCUUCAAAUGGCUGACCCCUUUCAUUGGGUACCUUUUAGUCUGAUCUGCUGUUGCAGCCUAUCGCACCAAAAGGUUAAAAGUAGGGCUGUCAAAUGAUUCAUCUUGUUGUGAGUAAUCGUGUAAUUGCCCACAAUGAACUUGCAGUUAACCACACAUUAUUUUCACAUUUUGUAAUAUUUUCUAAAUGGGCCCAAAACCAGUAUUUUCUGAGUGUUGAAUACUUUGAUACACAUUGAUGUAGAUAACUAUGAUUACUCCUUAUUGUAAUUUGAAUAUUUGCUUCAAAAUUUUAAAACAUUGGUAUUUUUGAGCUGACGCUAGCAUCAUUCGACAAGUUUUUGUAGUUUGUGUACUUGUGUGUUUAGUUGAUUUACUUCAUCUUAACCUUCUUUUUAAAUGUUAAUGUCGACACAAAUGGAUUAUGCAUCAUACAUGAUUUCACUGCAUCCAGCCUGAAUGAAUAAACUGACAAAAAGACUACAAAUACACCUUUGAUAUGAUCAGGGCAAAGGGUGUACAUUUUGAUGCACCGAGGCCCGCAAAACACUUGAACUAAAAGAGGCAACAAUGAAGCAUUAAAGAGAUUCUCCGGGGGAACUGAGGCUUCAAAAGAAAGGAUAUGUUAACAGCACUUGCCUGAAAUGGUUAUUGAUUUUGGGCUCAUGUGAAACAAGUACAGACUCUUUUAAUAAUUUCGUUGCACAAUCCCUCGAUUUAAUCUGGUCAACAGGCAAAACAAUCGAUACAUUUUCAUCUCCAUUUGUUCACGGUUCUGUAACGUCUGCUCUCAUUUCCAACAGUCUUCAUCCAGACCAAACCCAUAUCUUAGCAAGAUUUUCCCCGCUUCUGCCUGUAUUAGGGUUUUCAUCACUUUUCCCUCUGUGCUGUCAUUUUGUUAUUGCUGCCUGUGUUGGUGUGUGUAUGCAUUUUAUUUCCAUUUGUGUGUGGACUGAUGUCUCUGUUGGCCAGAAAGGGUAAAAUAUGACUCAAGGGGGCUAGAGCUAGGAUUUAGAUUGGGCUAUUAUUUAGAUUGGGUUAAGCUAAUAAUGAUGAAUGCUACAGUUUAAUAUUUCUAUAAAAAUUCUGAUAUUGGAAGUGAUGAAAUUUUAAGAAAUAGUGGUACAGUUAGGAAGUCAUGCAGUGCCCCAACAUUGUGUUCUUGCUCUCCAGGAUAACAUGUUAAACUUGGUUUUACAGCUGGAGUACAGAGACCAAGAGAGAAAUCCAUAUCCCCUUAUGCAAUCCACCUUCCUGACGUCAAUCACUUCCAUUUCUUUUAAUUGGUUAAAGGUUAUUUUUAGAGCUGUCCUCCAACACAUCUUGGCCAACUAAAACAAUGAUGAUGUGCUCCAUGUAAAUUUGCAUACACAGCUCUGCAACAGAAGGAUGGCAGAAUCAACAGACUGUAAAACUAAAUGAAGGAAUCUACAUCUAAAAACCACAAACACUACAAAAACAUUUAGGGCCUGAUUAACUAAAGGUUGGGCGCAAAGAGGAUUGUGUCUGUCAAAUUAGCAAAACAGCACACACAAUCCAUUUAACGUGUUUGUCUUUAUGAAUAUGUAGAAUGUAUUAAGAUUAUCAUAACAAGCAAAAUGUGCACAAUGUGAUUUAUGAAACCCUGACGUAGUAGAUAGUAGAUCACCCGUAACACACCCACAAAAACAAGGUUUUACUGUCAACAUUAAUGUUAACUUGCGUCGAUUUUAAACAGAUUGAAUUUAAUGGAUUCAUAGUUAACAUAGUUAUAUUUAAAAUGAAAUAUUCCCACCUCCGGUUAUUGCAUUAUCAGUCAGCUGGCUUCACAUUAACUGGACAUUCUGAUGGUAUCACUGUAAUGGUUGAUUCAGUUUCAGCUAAUCUUUCUGAAUCAAAUGCUGCCAAGAUGUGUGUGCCUAUUUUUCUGAUGAUGUCUAACUUUUUCUUUUUCCUUUCUUUCAACAAAAACUGAGCUUCUGCUGGUUUACGGUCAGAAUUACUGUUCAGGUUUUGCACAAAAACCUUCAAGCGAGCUGUAUCCUAUUUGCAGAUUGUAACAGUUUGUUGAACAUAGCAAACACUGUCCUGCGGGAUCUUUUCAGGGGCAAUGCACAACCAUUUAUGGCAUCUUAAAAGGUCAACAUUGGGCAGCCAGAACAGUCGCAUUGCUGCCAAAUCUGUUGGACCAACGAAUCCAGUAACACAGCCAAUGUGCUGCCUGAGAUUGGCAAGUGCAAACCUGUCAGCUGAAACUCUAUCAUAUUAUUUAUCGACUUCAUGUCUGUGUUAUAACACAAUAAGAUGGUAACCAUGGUCACCAAAGUGUUAUUGCAGACAGAUCUCCCAGGAGCUUUACUGCUGCCUCCCACCACAAGUUUCAAACCACUAAGUGUGUGAGAGAGAGCGAAAAGAAAACAUGAAUUAAGGACACUUGGAGAUGGAUGGACAGACCCUUCAGUGAGUGACUAGCACAGCGGGCAGAGUCUCCUGAUACAUGUCGAUGUACGGCUGCAGUUUCAUCUUUGAUAGACCCCCUUCUUGCUCUCUGACAGGGGGACUCGAGCAAAGAGACGUAGGGUCCCCAAAUUGCCUCACCUAACCUUGGCAAUCUCCAGCCAGCCUGCGCCUCUCCAUUAAUGUGCUGAUAAAUGACUUCCAUCAAGCACGCAGAGACCAGCUCCCUGCGCCAGUAACUUGGCCACUUGUCAAUUAUGAUUAUUAAUCUGUUGCGACCCUACCAUACCACCACCCCACCUGCUACAAGCCCCCACCGGCCCUCCUCUCCCUAGACUUGAUACGGCCUGCUUGUCAGUUGCUAAAUUAAAUUACUUUGGAAUAACUGAUGGCGUGUCCAGAUCCAUCGCUCCGAUAGCAGCAAGCAUGCUCCUAAUCCCCCCUGCUGUUGGCUGCACUGAAAACAGGGGGAUAUUUAAAUCGAUGAGGGCUCAUAUUGGUUCUGACAGGCUUGGCUUUUGUUAGGUGGGGCAAGAUGACAACUCCUUAUCGACUGCAAGGGUGCUCUGAGAUUCAUCGAAAUGCUGUUUCUAUUCAGGUGCCAUGUGCUUUUUUCUCUGCUGGAAGAUUCUCCAAACAGGCUCCAAAUCAAAAGGAAACUCUUGACAGACUUUGUACCCAAGCCGCUAAUUAUUGAGGGUCAGCACACUAAUGCGUGUCUGCAGAGCCUGUCUCCCUCCAUACUCAUGCAUAAUGAAGACAUUUCUGUAACCUAGAGAAUUAAGUAUGCUGUCUUCCUCAGUUCAGCUUUUCAGUUUUCACUCUACCACCCCUAUCCUCCUCCUAAACACAUCUUGUCUUAGAUGUACAUUUUGUAACUCUGUCACUCUGCUUGUUCUCCUUCAAACGCAUGCCUCAUCCCAGGAGCUCUCUGUCCCGGCAUUCCCGUCCCUAGCUGCCUCAUUAAUGAACUGUAAAUACUUUUUGCUAUGCAGCAAAAUUGAUUGACUGGCGAACCAACAGCACUGGGUGGCUCCAGAGGAAACAAGAAAAAACCAAGACUUAUGUACCGGGAAGAAAGAUAUUUUAUGUAGGAUUGGUUUACCACUGGCUUAAUUUGAAACUGUCUUUCCUGUGAAGAUAUUGGAGACAUGAACAUAAAAUUUAAUUGUGUUGAUGUCAGGACAGUACCAAGUAUAUAUAGUAUCUUGUCUGAGCAUGUUUGCCCGGUAUUAGCUUUCCUCUGUCGCCUUGUCCCUGCACACUUGGACUGCAAAUCCAAUUAAUCGAACAAAAACCAGACUGUGUAUCUCUGACAGGGUGUCAUAUUUACAAUAGCCUGGCUGUCUGAAGUGUGAUGUCUCCACUGCUAAGUCACGGCCAGCCAAGUCUCUGUCAGGGCUCCCAUAAGAAAAAAAAAAAACCUUAUUCAAAGCUCCAAACACCAUAGUACAUUAAAGGAAGCUUGAAGCAGAUCGCCCUGAGGCAAGAUAUCACCCUCAGCCUGCCUCUUUAGGAGAAUAAUGAAUGGAUGGCAUAACUAAUCCCACUGCAAAUUUACAAAAAAAAAAGUAUAUCUAGUUGGAUAUGUAAAAUGUCUCGCUCUAAGUGAGCUGACCAUCUCAUCUCUUUUACAGAAAGCUCUCAUAAGUGCCGGUAGUGUUUCCCCUCAGGAGGUGAUAAAAGUGAGAGCAAAGAAAUUAAACUGGACUGGUGUUAACACAAAUCCUAAGAUUACCUCAUUUGUAUAAAUGUAGAUUUGCAGCCUCCUGUCCUGUUUUGAAGAGAAAAAACAGCGGUGGAUGAAUAUCUGUAAGCCACACUUGGGCAAAAGUGCAUUUCACACUGAACCGAAAGUUGGCUAUCUAUACAACAUAAGCAGAAAUCUAAAUCAGAUGUUUACUGUAUUCAAGCUACAAAAGUAUAGUUUCUUCUAUUGGUUGUACUUGGGUAAAAGUCAAAGUACAACUGGUGCAGUGUGAAGAAAUGGGAAUCUUUGACAAUGAGAUUCUAGAUGGAAACACUUUCCUGCUCAACCAACUUGACAGUGAGGUGACAGUGAGGUGGCUGAGGACAAGAAGCUCCCUGUAAUGUAAAAUACAGUAUGAUCCUCCAUUUGCCAAGUUUUUACUAUUUGAAAUGUCUAUCAGAUUCUUUGGUAACACUUUACAAUAACCAUAAUUUAUAAAUAGUAAAUAGAUAGUUUAUUAAUGUUGAAUCAACACUUCUAAACAUUAUAUAGACCAAUUAUAAAUGGCAAAUAGAUAGUUUAUUAAUGUAAGUUAAUAGUUACUUUACCAUUAACAAGCAAUGAAAUUGUGAUUAAUAAUUUUCAUUAAUUAUCAACAGACUAUUUAAAGGUUUAUAUAGGGUUUACAUAUUGGUUGUAAAACAUCUAGAUUAAAAUGUGUAUCAGUAGCACUUUGUAAAUGGUUAAUAUUUGUUUUUUUAAACCAUCUAUAAACAUUACUUAGAUGGUUAUUGUAAAGUUAGGGUUAGGUUUUUAAAACUACAAAAUUUACAAUUUAAUUAAUGGUCUAUAUGCUAUUUAUAAAUGAUGAUUAAACAUUAAUAAACUAUCUGCUUAAUAUUUAUAAAUGGUCUAUUUACCAUUUAUAAGUUAUGGUUAUUGUAAAGUGUUACCGAUUCUUUUGUACAUUGGCUGCUAUCCUCUUCUUUGUUACCCAACUGGUGCGUUUUGCACGACCACUCUCUAAAUACAAAAAACAUGCAUGUUAUGACUGCAAGAUGACAACCUCUUUGGAAGAACCCACUACUAAAAUGCUUCUUCUAAGUUACAGAAAACACAUGAUUUAACUGAUUUAAAACAUGCGUAUGGAUAAUUUAUUCCAUUUCUACCAAGUCUGUUCUGAUAAAUGCUAUUAAAUGCUUCAAGUUGUACCUUUAAGGAUGUUAAUCGUGGUCAAAAAUUUCUGGAAAUGUGAACUGUAUUUUUACUGUUGUGGAAAGAAAAUGGAGCUACCGGAAGAUCUUGAUAACAAAAGAGCUUAUCAUCAACUAUUCAACCUUUGCCACGUAAUGUUUUUAGUAUAAUAGAAGAACUGCCACUCUUUCACUGGAGAAGCUGGUAUUAAUACAAAUGAAGUCUCUACCUCUGUCAUGUAUCCAGUAUCACCACUGAGUGAUAUUCCACUCACGUGGUCCUUACCUGCUCUCAUCUGACAUGUCUGGACUUGGCUUAAUGGAUAAACCGGGCUCUGAAAUCCUGUGAUUUCACUUGUUAUUCUGUGAUGUUUUUAGGCUUGUCUGCAUCUACAGUGUUGAAUUACUGUUAUUCUCAGGCUUUGACCACUUAGUUUCCAUUCAUUUUAAAGGCAUAUUUUCAGUUUUCAGAACAUUUUGUAGGUCUAGAGCUGCUAAUGCAAAUGCUAUGUCUUUGUAAAAUGCUAUUUUAUCAGCGCAAGUAUACCGCACAGAGAGUACCUUACUUAGCACAGACUUAAUGGUCACUCCUAAGGGAAGAGGUUUUAUUGCAAAAAAAUAUCCUUAACCUUGCAACUGGAAGUGUUUGGGAGAAGCUCUCUGAAAUUGAGAUUUUAGACUGCCAAAGCAAAACCAGCUGUUAUACUGGACCAAGGCCCUUAGUCUGCCAGACUCUCUGAUGAAGGCAGUAGCAUUCAUGGUGAUGGUCUGAUACUUAAAAACAACAAACUGUUAUUCAACCUCCCAUGCAUAAAUACACAACUUUACAGCAGAAAUACAGAUAAACAGCCGUAUACUUAUUGCAGUCUAUACAGGCUGUUUCUUUGUUCAUUAUAGAGAGCAUUACAUACUCUUGUGCGGCCUUGCUUAUAGUCCAACUCUCCUGUCCUCUCUCCUGUUGUUGUAUUUCAGCUGCAGUUCAGUCAUAUUUCAAAGCAGUCUGCUGAGAUUGAUUCCUGGUUCAAAGGCGAGAGGAUGGCGGGGAAUGGAAAUAAAAAGACACAAGCUGCAGACAUGAGUAGCAAUUGUCUAACUAAGAUUAAUGCUAUUUUGUUGUCACAGAGCUAAUAUAGCAAAACCUAAAAUAAAAGUCAUGCUGUAAAAUACUUCAGGUUGAUAAAGUACCAUCCCAUUAUCAAGAGACACAGCUCUUAGCUGAUCCAUUAACAGUACAUUAGUGGAGUAUCUUUUUUUUGGCUCUUAAUGACUCUUACAACCCAACGAGCUUCAAAUAAUUGUAAUGAUAGAGUAAUGCCGUUGUAACCCUCACUCGUUUUUUUUAAGUAUGACAUAAACCUUUGCAGCAAAAUGACCGUUAUUGCUGUGUUUUAAGGGGCUCUUCACACAGAUGUUUCAGUGCAUAAAGAGAGGAUGUCCUGCUGCAAAAUCCCACUAAGAGGAUGACCUGAAUGUGUGGAAACAUGCUAACUUCAUUGGGCAUCUAAUGGACCCAAACAGAAUACAGAUACAGUGGUUUCACUUUGCACUGGAAGUCAUAUAAAUGACUACUUGCUGAGGCAUUAUACCAAUGUUUAAUGAUGCUGUGUCACUAUUCUGCACAAGCAUUAUGGCCUUUUUUUUUUUGUUCCUUUAGGUUCUCUUUUUUCUGUUGCUGCGAGUGCUGAAAUCCAGCUUCAUCUCUGUGCAAACCUACACAGCCUUGCUCCCACUGAACUGUCAUUUAUUAUGUAAGAUACAGAGAAAGGCGGGAGUGAUGAUUUAAUCAGAAUGAAAGGUUUUUAUUCUCUGUUUGGACUUUGCAACACGCCUUAGGUUCUACUCUGAGAGAUGUCCAUGGCUUAACUAUGACAUGAUUUGUUUCAUAUUUCAUUAGGGUACACUGUUGCCUAGUGCCUGCUGAAGUUUGCUAACAAUGCAGAGUGGGAAUGUAAAGCGUAACAGAGAUAGGGAGGCGGUAAGGAAGUGCAUGAAUCUGUAAUAAGGUACGAUCUGUUAGGGAAGGAUGGUGGGGGAAAUAGUGAGCGGGGAAGAGCUUAAGUGCAUCGUUGACAAAUUGUCACCAUGGCAUCAAAUUGCAUGUUGGGAAAAGGAGUGGAGAGGAGACACUGUGAAAGUGUAACCUCUGAGACAGAGGAGGGCGAUCGUGUGGAGACAUUUUUAAAAUAAUACAUGACCCUACAAAUAAAACAGAAGAGGAAGGACUUAGAUGGGACAAGAUUUACAGGAAGGGUUAAACCUCAAUCAUUUGGAGAACACUCCUCUUCCUCUUUCCCUCCUACCCCAGGUGACUAAAUAGACUCUUGUCACCACACCAGAACAGGUUAUCAAGGUAUGAAGCCAGAAUAUUGUUUAUCAGGGAUGGUGUUUUCCUCCCUCGAAGAUAAGAGGAUUAGAAAAAGUAACAGAUGUGAUACCGUUCCCUCAAGAGACUGUUACGAUAUUAUGAUGAGAAUUUGACUAAAUUAACUUUAAAAAUGUACAAACUUUUUAUACACCUGAGAUCCCUGUAAUUUUGUUUUAUCCUCAAGGGUACAUCAUUCAUCAAAAUAACUAAUACACCAGAUGUGCCUCUCUUAAAUACACUUCAGAACUUGAAAGUUACAGUAAAUAAGUUUUAUCAUGGAUGAACAAAGAAGCGCCUCAGACCUCUUUGCUGACAGGCCUACGUGAUGUUCUCUGGUUAAAAUACCUCAUCCUGCUUUCCUUUAUGUGAAAUACAUUACAGGUGGGUAGAUUGUAGCUGUUUGCAUGGCAGCAGUGACCUCAAAAUCACCUUUUUGUAAAAAUCGAGACUGGAUGAAAAUUACAUGGGGUCAGGAUUUCCAACAUGAUGGCUGUCAUCUUUUGAAUUUCAUAAUGCCAGUAUAUGGAUUUUAAGCUGAAAAGCUCUCUGUAAUUCUGUGUUUAUUUUCUCCACUUCCUGAAACCAACAAUGCACAGUAGCUACGCAAUCCUCGUACGCCCAUAGGCUGUAUCAAGUGUCAAUCAUAGCCCCCUAAUAACUUUUAAAAAUGGAGCUGUACAGAAAAAAAGAGGACUUGAGCACAAACCAGUCUGACAAUAACUUUAUGUCAACAACGCAAGCAGGGGGGAGAAAAAAAUUAUAUUCUGCGUAAUAAAUUUCUAAGGUUUGUCCACAUCUUCAUAGGGAUUGCUGGAGGAGGCAGGAUUUAUGACCCAUACUGCCUGUACAGUAGAUUUCAAAGAUGCAAAUGUGCAAAAAUGUACUACACGAAGAUAGAAUCAAGCUGGCAGCCUCUCGCAGGAUUUUAUUUUAGUUACAGCAUCAAACACAACUCAUGACAAUCAGAAGGACAGUGGAAGCCCAAACAAUCCCCCGAAUCCCUACCACUGUUCCUUCUUAUACUUCCCAAAUGGCGUCAUUAGUCCUAUUCCCGGAAACGGCCUUCACGUUGGUAUCUGAUAGCCAACCACAUGAUUUCUUCUGUACACAUUUUUUUGUUGGCCAGCUCUGCCCAAUUUCCCCUCUGGACAGCUGAAAGUUCACCAUCACCUGGACUCUCUCUGGCUGUAUCCUGUAUGCAGUUUUGCGAUAGCUUUGCUCCAAAAACAUGUCUAUGAUUCGCUCCCACACCCGUCACCAGGGUGUGCUGUUCUCAGGAUGGUCUCACCAAGCGAGGAGGUAGACGCUGUCCAUUCUAUAUACAGUCUAUGAGAUUUCCAACAUGAUGGCUGCCAUCUUUGGAAUUCAUAGUGCCUGUGUAGAAACCGAUGAGUGACAUCACUGAGUCUAAGUCCAUAAUAAGAGCUAUGAGAUCCCUGAUUUAAUGAUGUGACUCCUCAGCAAACAUGAGUCCCAGGUUUACAGAGGGAUGACGUUUAAGUCACAGCAGGUAGAAGUUCUUUAUUGUUUGUUUUGCAGCGCAACGCUGAGGUCUAUCCUCAUACAUGCUAUACUCUGGUGACCUCACAUUGUAUGCAUGAACAAAUACAGGUCCCCUGGAUUUACACAGACCUUUAACUCUCUCUCUCUCGUAUUGUUUUUCUUCCCAUGAUUACAGGAGCACACAAGAUCACAAUCGAUGUACAUUCAAACAUUCAUGUGGCUCUCCCAGAGGUCUCAGGAGGCAGAUAAAUGUCAUGCUGAGCUUAUCAACGUUGUUUGGUUUGAACUCCACUGCUACUGUUAUUUACAUUGACAUUUAUUGAUCUCUAAGCAUGAGAGGUGUGGGAAGGCUGAGUUUUCCAUUACAGGUUGAAGGCUUUAUCUUCAGAUACAGUUUAAUGUUGGUUGCUGACUUUGUUUUAUCGGUUUGUAGAUAUGUUGAAAUGCUCAUACAAGUCCAAGUCCCACCGAUUUGAUGGGAAAUCAAAUAAAUGAGAGUCAUGGAGCGUCUGCAAAGGUAUUCAAGCACAGAGUGACAUGGGUGGUGUAUCUUAGGUGCUAAUGUGAAUCUCUAAGAGAGACUGUCAUGCAGGGACAAAAAAGGUUGCUUGCAGCUGAUAUGACAUCCUGGUAUGCUUAAAGAAAAAGGUGCAGAUACACCAAGAGAUUCAAUUUCCCAUACAUACCAAGCUCAUUUCAAGCACUACAUACUCUCAGUUAGAGAUGGGAUUGAUGGCUCUUUGAAGGGAACUGGAUCUUGAGGAGCCGUUCGAAAGACUGGCUCAUUUAAUUUAAACAACCCACCAAUAUAUAUUCUUUUGGUGGAAAUUAUUCAGAAACAUUAAUUAUGAUUUCAUUUAGCUUGUGUUGUCAUUGUAGAGAGAUCACUAUUUUGAAGUUUUCUCUUACCCGAAAAACUUUGUGGUACAAUAAAAACUACGCAAGCUACAGAUAACAGAUAAAAAAUUAAGACAUGAUAAAUGUGAAUGCAAAAUUGUAUAGCCCUACUUGGUAGGGUGACCAUAUUCUGAAUCCCCAAAAAGGAGGACAUGACUACGCAGGGGCGGAGUCGCACAACAUUAAUCUUGAGAGUUUUUGGGUUGGAUUAAGUGUCUUUUACGCGCUUCUAACUCAAUAAGUCCAUGUGACACAAACUUGAAACUUCUGUAACCGCAGACAUUUGAAGGAUUUUAUAAACUUCCCUGGAUAGAGCCGGACAAAGUUGGACAGCUCCCCAAAAAAGAGGACAUGUCCAGGUAAAAGAGGAUGUAUGAUCACCACCCUACUACCUGGCAUUUGGGGCACACAGGUGACACAUAAAUGUAGCGUGGGCAAUUUGCAUAUUAGAACGUUUUGAAAACAAACACCUCGCCACUGUGAACCAGUUCUAAUCAUUCACUUAAAAGAGCCGUUCAAAUGACUGACUCGUUCACAAACGUCACAUCUCUACUCUCAAAAACAUUUAACAUCUCUGAGAGCUUCAAUUAAACUCUGUGACACACCCAAUAAGGUUUGUCUCAAUAUUUGCAAAAGAAUUAAAAGAUUUUAAACCAUUCUUAUUUGUUUGACACAUUUUGACUAUAAAGAACUUGAGAGAAAUGAAACUGUUGAUAUAAUAUGACAACGUGAUUACAAGGAUCCUCAUUUGAUUCGUCUUAACUCUCAGCUCUCCUUAUCAGGGAGAAGAGCAGUCUCUUUAUUCUUUUCCCUGCAGUGUUCAUCAGUGCCCCAGUAAAGAAGAUGGCUUUGUUCUUGCACUUAUACAGUGCACUUAUACUUAUGCAUAAUCUAUGUCACCUCUGCUUAAAGAGGAGGAAGAAAAGCAGUGCUUAAUGCCUGGCGGCAGCUAUGCAGCAGGUAGCAACACGAGUCCUUGUAAGAGUUCAGACUGCUUCAAAAUUUCACACAGCCACUUUGACACAAUUCCACUAAAUUACAGCCUGAAUGACUCUUAAUGACAAAGACCUCUAAUGGCAAAGAGCCUGCCUCGGCACAGAGACGAGGAAAUAAGGCAUUGAUUGAAUGCUGGAAAUGACGCACUGGAUUUAUUGAGAUAAUACAUUCCUCAGCCAUGCUUUCUAUCCAUUAAGAGGAAUUACUUAGACUGUAAUGAGCAGGAUAUUAUCCAGAGUGAAGCUAUGGAUGGAUGCCUCUAUCUGCAAAAGCUCCAAGAUAACAGGCAAGUGACUUGGGGUGAGGUGAUGUCAUGACAAUUAACAAUGCUCAUUGUUACAUUUACCAUGAAUAAACCAAGCUCCAACCAGACAUAGAUGGUUCCUGGUCGGAAUAAGUGAAUAUAGCUCUGCAAUCCACAGCAGUAUCAGACUACUUUGAAUGUUAUAUGUAGAUUAAAGGCAUGGUUGACGAUUGGAGAGAUUGGUCAUUUUUAUAAACCUCGUUUAUAUGGCGAUCAUGGUCCUAUAGUGCGAUCUCCACAAAGCAAAGAGAAAAAAAGAACGGAAAAGAAAAAAUGCAUUCAUCCUAGCAAGUGCAGGGCUGCAAAAACAUUGACCAAUGGGAGCCAUGCGUCCCGGACAACUCCCAUUGGUCAAUCUCCUACUCCGCCUCUCCAUCCAAUCACCUGCAUUCAACACACUCCCGCUGUUCCAACUCGUCCCCUCCCACUCUUCCGGCCCUUCUUAGAGCUCUGAGCAGCUAAAAGUAGCAUAGCAGCUUAGCUACAUGAGCUGUGACGAUGAAGGACGCAAAAUAAAACUAAUUUUUGCCUCUCAUUGUGGCACGUUACAUAAAUAACUCUUAUUAGUCUCUGCAUUGUCAACACGGUAGCUGUCCAGGCAGCUGCAGACGGUACUCGCUAGCAGAGCUGGCAUUUACUGCUGCUAGUCACUAGCAAUCCAAUAUGGUGAAUCCUAUUUGAAGCUAGCGUAGGAUUUUCUGUCGGCCGGCUUCUUGCUCUGCCAGAGGGGGUGUGUCGUGGGGAGGGUGAUAGAGGUUCGGGUGGGGGGUGGUUUGAUUGAUUUUUCAAAUUGCGUCAUCUUCAUGCCCCAACCCCCUAAAGCUCCUGGACCUUUGAAAAAUACUACCCCAUGGCUUUUUUAAGGGGUACAUCAAUUACCCCAUCAAUUAAAUUUAGACCCUGGUACAUGCUUUGAAAACCCACAUAGUUCCUCAUAAGGUUCCCAGUGCCUGGGUAAAGUCCCUGCUGUUGAAAAGUAGCCAUGCAACUGCAGGUUGAGCUUAUACCCUACAGGAUUGCAAACUCCACAUGGCAAAAACAGAUGGAGCUACAAAGAGCUGUGAACAAUGUUGAACAUAAAACAGACCACAUCUUCCAUACCCAGGUCUCUCAUGAUCAUCAUAAUUGCUCAAGUGUUGCAAUAGGUUCUAUUCAACCCUUAAUGAAGACUCGAGGUGCAGCAUAAAGGAUCUGCACUCUGACAAGACAAAGGCAAACAGAUUGGUCUCGGUUACAAAAGUCCUUACUGAAUAAAUUUAACAGACAAAACAAACAAACGUCUCAGUCCAUCCUUGAUUUCUUUGUAAUGCUUUCAACGUGCACCCUUCUACAGUGGUUACUAUACAGGUCCCUCAUUGAGGACUGGGCAUCUCUAAAGCCUACGGAUGAACUGUGAAUGCAAAAAACACCUGUUACAUUACCAUAAAGGAUGACAUCCCACAUUCUUAUACUGAUAUAAAUACAAAUGAAUGUUCAGGCACCUAAUAUAGGAUACACUUGCACAGUAUCAUAGUGCAGAUCAAGUCUGAGUCCUCAGUGCUUGAAUCAGUACAUAACAUCAAGACUUGUUAUAUAUUGGGCAUAUAUUUUAGGACUUGCUUUGUAACAUUUUGUUCUAGUUUUUUGAGCAAAAGUUAGAAAAUAUGUGAAAAAGACUCUCCUGGAUUGCUAAAAUGUAAAUCACACAUUCACAACCCAUUUGAUUAACACGGGCUGUCACCUCUACAUAGAACUUUUUAUAUUAUCAAGGUAGAGAAUAUGCACAGUAAGGUUGAAUCUCUGAAUAUUAAUACACGUAAAAGUAGUAGAGGACAUACAGUAACCUUACUCCCUGAAACAUUUCAUAGUUCACAUGUCUGUAGCGGAGCUGUACAAUUUUAUAAACACCGCACAUCACUCUGGACUUGGAAGCCUUUUUCUGAACUUGGCAUUUAGACUCUGUCAACAUUUUCAGUCCUGCUGUGCCCCUGUGAUAUCUUCCUGUGUCUUAGAUCUAUUUCCAUUACACGACACAGAGAGUAGAUGUUUGACUGAACUCAAAGGGCAAUUAUACCAUGUUCUGCAUAUUCUCUUGAACUUCUUCCGGUCACUUCGCUCAAAAUCUUCAAAGCACCUGGUAAGAAGAGAUUUCAAUCAGCUCCCAGCACUCUCGCUUCAUUAAAUCGGAAAUGGAGAACAAGAGCUUUCUCAGACAGAUUACAUCAAAAUAAUGAGUUCUUUAAAUUGCCUAUCACAAACUUCAACUAUCAAGUUAUUUGUACGGCGGCAGUUCACUGUAGUUCAAACAAACUGAAAGACCCAUUAAUUCCUGCUGUCUGGACUCUUAAUAUACCGAGGCGCUGAGGUCUACUCUGCAGGACGUGCCUCUAUCAGCAACCACAUGAGGCUGCAAAGCACAUGAUGAGCAAGAUACCACUGUUAAAGUCAAGAUACUUGAUAGACAUUUAACCUUUUAACUUUUAAUUCUUUUAAAUUAAUUCUAGGAAAUAACAACUCAAAUAUUUUGAGAUUCUGGGUUUCUGGUUGUUGUGAACAUUUUUCCUGAAAACUUUUAUGCAUGAUGGCACUACUUGUGAAGCUCUCAAAUGUUUUUAAUCGGAAACCUGAUAAUCUUCAGAGGACUGUUGUCUUGUUUAUUGUACAUUUUACCCCCAAUCUCCACCGCAUCCGGAAAGACUACGAAAAGGCCAUAUUCGCCGAUUGUAGCUGAUCGUAACCAUUCAAGUUAAUGUGUCAAUUUCCACCGCCUUCUUUCCGUUCCGCGGUGGAUCGCCGGACUCCGCAGCUGAUCGCAAGAGUUCUACUUUUUCCGGAUGCCGGAGCAUGCAAGAUAAAUUCAGCACAGAUUAAUAUGUAAACGGGCGGGGAUGAGCAAGUGAAAGGUUAGCCUUUGUGGCUAGAGACAAUUUGUUAUCACCCAAUUGCAAGUGAAUCCACGGCUGCUUGUGAGUUCUCGCGAUUCCCGGUGUCCGUAAUCCACCACGAAAUUUGCCACACAAACAGAUCCGGUAGAAAUUGGCGGACGACAAAAAUCGCUGCCAUUUCGGAUUGGAGGCUUUCUAGAUACGGUGCAAAUUGGGAGUUAUACUACCACUCUUUUCCCUUUUAGUAAAGUUUUUUAUUAAUUUGGUGUGGUACAGCGCUGUAAAGAGCCAGCUUUUGGACAGCAAAUUUAUACUUUCUUAAUACUGAUUGAAAAUGUUUUAAGUGGAAUAAAAUGAGAUAAAUAAAAUAAAGUAAAAUUACAAUAUUUAAUUUAUUUUAUUUUAUUCCAUUAAAACAUUUUUGUAUAUGUCUAAUAAGUCUGGAAAAAGAUAAAUUGUUUUUAAUUUUUUUACUUUUUCAUAGUAUUCCAAUUACUUGAGUUGCACCUGUACUUAAAAAAACAAAAUAACCAAUCCUUAUCAACCUCUUAAAAGAAGUAUGACUGUUGGUUUUGUUUUGGCAUUGAGUCCUGGUAAUAUGGGUGUAAUGAUGCACCCAUAUCUCUGACUGCCACAUAAUGUAGACAGACACACUCAUCACACUACCUCACUUGGCGCAUUAAGACCACAAGAUAGAGAACAACAGAAAUGCUGCUGGCAGGGUGUCUAGAUCAUCAUUUUUACGUGUUUUGGCAGUUCUCAUUGUACGGAUCUUAUCACUUAAAAUAAAAGGGUCAGCCACCAUGAACCAGAGCAAGGAACAGCCAAGAAGGCUUCAGUCUAGCCAGUCUGUAUCCUUAUCCGUAAUAUGAUAAGAUCUCAAUGUCAGCAGUAUCAUCUGUCUGUGUAAAUUAUCUUUAUCAAGAAGGUUAAAGGGACGCUUCAGGAACACUUACAGGUGUAAUCUCAUCUAAAUGAAUCUGCCUUAACCUGAGUGUGAAAUGUGUUCAGCUGCCUCUGAGAAGAGAUCAAAGACCUAAUUGAAAAUUACAGGAGAGAAGUUAAAGGUAGGAUUACAUGAUUACAGGAUUACACAUUAAUCAAUUUUGAAUAGUACGCUUAGAUCAUACUUCUGGUUUCUCUUUUCAAACAUUUCAUUCCAGUUCGUUCGCUUAAAUCUUCAGGGAUCGGGGUGGGGGGUGGGGAUUAACAUCUGUGUUUCACAUAAACACAAAAUUAAAAUAACUCUUAUGGUGCGUUCACACCAAGCACGUAUAGAAUCAUCCAUGCAAGUCGAUGACAUGUUAAGUCAGUGCAAAUCAGAUGCGAUUAGACGCAAGUUCUUCUAGGGUGACGCUAAUAAGUUGCAGCGAGUAGCACAGAUUGAGAGGACUGUUUACAUGAAUUACUCGAAUUCGCAUCACAUCUGACACGUUACUCGCUUCAAACACUUAUUCACAAGAGUUAAAAAAUCUGAACUCGGGGGACUGUUUGCACCCUGAUAACCAAUCAGCGUGGAGAUGCCCUGGUGAUGUAAGUCAAGAACAGACCAGCAGAGAUUCAUCCAUUUGGAGGAGUCAGGAGUCAGGAGUAAAAAAGAGCUCAGCUGGAGGAAAGUCAGUGAGGUGGUCUGAAUAUUUUACAAUGUGAUCGACCUCUGCUAUGUUCGAUGUAAACAGUCUGACCUGACACGCAGAAGCCCCUCCUCUCAUGUGUGUUUCGGCACUCUGCAGAUGUAAAAUAAAUACAUGAAUGGGGCAAGUCAUUCGCACAAAUCAAGCGAAUAAACACACAACAUUCCCACGUCCAGAAAUGCAAGUAGAUAAUCUUAUUUGCGCUUGGUGUAAACGCAUUAGACUACAGUGAAUGACUUUAAAUGAUCUCAAACAAGACGUCAUGACUUGAUUUAUAAAAUCGCCAGUUUUUUCUUUAACAAACUUAAAAACUCAUGGUUUCCUGUUUCAUUCCCAACCGUUAGACUCCAUUAAACAGACAGCUUUCAGCCUGUUUGAACAGUCUAACCUUACAACAUUGACACCAGUGUAAAAAGUUUACAAAUCCACUCCUGGGGUGCUCUCUGUGAGUGCUUAUCUCAGGUCUUCUUAACCUUUAGCCUUAGAGUUUAACUAAUCUUUACAUGAUCAAUAACAGUUCCCUCCAGGCUCUCUCACCUUCGCAUGAGAGGAGAAGUUCGAGCCGUCUGUCUGUGCAGGGAAAUCAUUCAUUCCUGUUGACUCAAUGUCAGAGUUAGGAGCUUUAAAACACCUGCCUGUGCAGCAAAGUUCCAGGCUUUGGGAGGACUAACUCUCAAUCUUUGAAAAGUAAGAGGAUCUUUAUACUACAGGUGAGGCUUUGGGGCACAGAAGGAUUUGUUUUGGGGCCUCUUAACUCAUAAUCAUUUGAUUUCAACUUUAUGAGGUAUUGUUUGACAGAUUUAAUCUUUUACAUAAAAUCUUCAAUAUUUUUUUUGAUUUGGUCUCAUUUUGAAACACACCUGCAAACUGAGACUUCACACUGUAAGUCUUAGUAUCACAUUGACAUCACCCUCAAACUUUAAGUUUGGUAUCUCUGUCAUGUAAAUCUUGGUUUCCUGGCGCCAAAAGUAACAACAUUCAGCCUAUGCAUGUCUGCACAAUGAUCCUGAUAAAUGUAAAUCUCUGAUUUCUACUCUGUCUAUACUUGUACCAUCAAAUUCUCUACCACCUGUUUUCAAUGAUUUUUUAUUUAACACCUAAAAGCACUUUGACCUGCUCUGUGCAUGUAUGAAUUUGUUUUGCCUAUUAACGAAUUGUACUGGUGUAUCUCGCCACCUGCUGAAUUUUAAACCCUGUGUUUACUCUUUCCUAUAAUUGCUUGUUACUGAAAACAGCUGCUUACAGCAAUAAGAGCAUCCGGGUAGGGGAACAAAAACAUCCAUCUAAAACUUAAAAUAAGGCUUUAGAAAAUUCUCUCAGCGGGCGCAUGAUUACAAGUGACCUCAAACAGCAGAACAACGACUACUGUGAAAAAUGAGAACAGUCAGAACUUUGCUUAGCAAGAGAAACAGGUCUACAGGUUAAAGGAGCCCAUUAUGGUUAUUUAAAGGUAAAUAACUUUAACUGAGCUAUCAAUACAUAUUAUUUUCAUUAAAUCAUUAUAGUUUAAGCUCUUAUGAAUUCACAGCUACAGCCAAUGUGCUGUAAAACUGAAUAACUUCAGUUUUGAACUUGUCAAUUUCUUGUGUAAGAAGGACUCAUGCUGCGAUCCACAAGUACUCAGAAGUUGGGAUUUCUGAGCUCUGAGUCUCGAACGUCCCCCUGAACUUGGAUUUCUGAUUCAGAAAGACGGAUGAUCCUCACCAACCCCAACUUGACGAUGACAUCAUAAUCCAAGAUGGCAGCGCAGUACAUUAACAGUACAGUGAAAGCUCUAGGAAUAAAAAUAAUAAGAAUAGAAUAGCUUUAUUAAUCCCUGAAGGGAAAUUCAAUUGUUGUCUGACAUAAUAUGUCUCCAAAAAAGUUAUCUACCAUUAACACAAGAAUUGUGUAAAUUCUAAUUGUUUUAUUUAUUAGCACUUCUGUUUUGUUUCUGUGAAAUUGAAUAAGUGGUAUAUGUUGUACUGCUCAACGUCUAACUGUGAACACUGAGCUAUAGUGUUUGUUAGAGUAAAAUACUGCUUUAUGCGUUGUUUACGACUGGUAUAGCUAGCAACAACUAACAGCUGACAACCGCUAAAAAUGACUGACAAUGGCUAACCACAGCUGAGAAUUUUAAACAACAGCUAACAACGGCUAACAGUAGGCGUCUGUCUUGGUUUUCAACUUGUUAACCAGAACGCCGUCAACCCAGGUGUAACGACAUUCCGACUUCCAAGGUAAUUGGAACGCAGCAUUACACUGGAUAUAAUGAUCAGUUGUGUUUAUGGUUAAAAGUAAAAGCAUGAAAACAUUCAGUUGCUUCUCUGUUUACAGGUUCAAGAAAAAUAAACCAGCAGAAGUGUCUGGUGUUAUACAAUCAGAAUAACUGCAGAUCAAGUAUUCAUAUAUGGAUCGUCACUAUGUGAAAAAAUUGCUUUGCUUUUUGUUUUCUUUCAGUUAUCCUCUGAGCUCAGAAAAGCUGGCUCUGCCCAUCACUAAGAGUGUCCAGGUAGCAGGGGGGAGCAGGAGGAUAUUUGUAAGUUAAACUUGUUUUCAAUAACAAAAACUCCACACUCUUUCUUUUUAAACUAAUUCUGUUCAAAACUUUGCUGACUCACCAAAUGCUGCACAGCAAAAACCAUCUGUUGUCAUUUAAGUUUCAUUUGCAAGUGGAUCGAUCUGGUUUACUGCAACCCAGAUGCUCGGAGGAGAACUGAAAGCUUUUGUCUACUGACAUCUCAGUUCUUCCUCGGGAGCAUUAAUAUGACCCAGUUUCUCAUUGUGGAUUUCUAGGGAUUUAACUGUGCAAGCUAAGAUGCAAUCUUGAGCAGGAACAGAGGCGUUACAGGAAGCAAAAAGUGCCAAGUGACUGCGAUGAAACGGACGAGCCUUAUGCCACACAAGUGGAGCCCACCAGAAGCACAAAAGUCAGGCAUGGAGAAAACAUGUAAGUACCAAUGGUUUAUGGGUAUGCCAAAUCUAGCAGGUUGCUUUGUUUCCUUCAAGUGAUCAUAAAUAUUCUUCCUUGAGCUGCGUCACCCCGCUGUAGUCCAUAAUGGACUGGCCUGAGGUCUCCCUACAAACAAGCGGCUGCUGGAAGAGAGUGGGUGAGAGAAGUAAGCGGUCGGCAACAUUCAUCUCUUGACGGGGUGUCUAACUCGGAGUUAUGGUGUGUAUGACCCUAAAUUAAUUUCACGCCGGAAUAUCCCUUUAAGUUUUACAGCGAAUACGUCAGCGUACAAUAGGUCCAGUGUACACACAGCAGCAUUAUCAUGUAGUGGUUUGUGAUCACCUGAAAAAUGAACCUGAUACUUUUUCAUUUCCUGGAUUUAAACAUUUUAUUUUGGUGUUUGUGAAUUUUGAAAGAUUUAUCUUUCUGAGUGGAUAUCUUGUUUCUCUCUGUAUCUGGACUGUGGCAAGACCUGUACCAGUUAAAGGCCACAACACUUCUUCCAUGCCACUUCUCCAGUCUCUCAAUCAGUAUGCUCUAAAGCACCGUAUCAAAAAAAAAAUAUUAAAGGCUCCAGAAGAACCAGGAGGGAGCACAAAGAAGCAGAGGUUGUAGUGAUUGAAAGGUAUAUAAUCCAACUGAAAGUUAGCAGUAGCAGCUCUUUCUCUCAUUCAGCACAUUAAAUUCAUUCAAUUCACAAAGAAAACCAAAUUUCCUAUCUAAAAAUUUACCCAGGCACAUUAUCUAGGACACUGUUAUUAAAUUUUGCUCAAACUCAUUUUAGGCACAUUAUUCUCAAGAGCUCUUCUCUCACUCAUAACUGUGCCUGUUUCUCCUUUCUCUUUUUUUGUUCGUUUAACUCCCUUGUUGGAAGCGUACAACAACACAAACACACAAAAAGAUAAAGAAAACUAUUCUGCUAAACUGCUUUUCAUUUGAAUAAUGUCGGCCUACCUGCAUAAUUACCCACAUCACAGGCUGAGGAUAAUUAUUUUGCAAAUAUGGUUCAAAACACAAAUUCCUCUUGCAUCUUUUCCUCUUUUGAAUUUAACGUACCGUAGAUUUGCAAAUCCCAUUCGGGGAAAUUCAACAAGCAGAGUACAGCUGCAAUUAUGACACUUUGUGACGGAUGCAGAUGCACACCGAUUUUCCUCUGGACAUGAUGCUCUUAUCAGAGUGUCCUCACAAAGACUACAAGGUACAGCCAUGGAAAUAUGAAUACUAUUCUCCAAGUCACACAAUGGAUGCUAGCUGUAGGAUUAUUAAAUGUCAUGACAAAUUGGCCCUGAAGUGAUGGUGAUUUAGCCACUGUACACACAGGUACAUGGUUCAGGAAUAUCAUGCAGAGCAAAGCCCCCUUAGGACGUGAGAGGGAAAGAUCCAAGCUAUCUGCUCACACCAGCCAUGACCUCAUCUCCCAGAGGCACCUCAGUCAUUUCUUCAAAUGUCAUCAUGAGAGCCACAUUUCCUUACUUGAAUUUGUCUGUAAAGCCUCUAGAAGUUGAGGUUGACUCAAACCCCUUUCACACAUGAACUUCUUAUUUCUCCAAAUUGUCCAGAAGGAUCCAGUGGGACUGAAAACAACCAUAUCUGGUGACCAAAACUUUAAAGUCCCUCUCUGAUAAUUUUUUUCUUUUACUACUUAAAGUGUUCUCAAUGGUCUUUAAAUCGUGAUUAUGAAGUUUUUACCAAAAAUUGCGUAACCUGUGUCAUUUUUAAGGGCUUUUCUUCUGCAGAGCUCCUGUAGAUCAUUAGCAGUUCACCUCUGAGUCGUGGGCAGAGACAGCGCAGCUCUGCAAACAUCUCAUCACGCUAGUAGAAGAAGCAGGUAACAUAGGAGCUAUUAAGCUCUUGGACACUAAUGUCUUUAGGGGGAUGAUGAAAGUUAAUAUCAUAAUUUGCUUUCUUACGACCAUUGCAAUUCACUAUUUUCAUUGGAAUUGGUCUUUAAGCAGGCUGACUGUCCCCUUUAUUAAGACCGUCCCUUUUUGGAUCUUUUAAACAUGUUAUUCCUACCUGUAAGAGGUCUUAAUCUUUGAUAAUGUGUCUGGAUAUUUGUUUAAAUCUGCACAAAAACUUGAAAGACAUGUUUAGUUUGAUAUCACAAAAGGUACAAGUCUGGACUAUUCAAGCAAACAGACCAAAUUUUGCCACAAAUCCUUAUUGAAAAGAAGUUCCCCUGCUUCAUACUCUAUACUGCUCAGCACAGUUGUCUGUCAUAUACUUCCUACUGCUGUGUUUGGGCUGUGAAGCAUCCUUGUGAUAUUUACCUAGAAGGAGAGCUCAUUACUGAAGACUGCUCCUCUUCCUCCUCCUGCAAAAUCGAUCAGAGUAUUUGAAGUCGUAUGAGCCCUUCCAGCACUGAAAAUCUCUCGCUGUGAUGUGCAUAUGUGAGAGGUAGCUGAGAGGGAAAUACUAGGACCUAGAUGUUCUGAGAUCUCAAAAAGGAAAGAGUAGGUGAAGAUCAAUGUUGAUUUCAUUGAUAAGAUAGUUUUCAAGCCCAACCCCUGAAGAGACAAUAGCCAAAUAAAAUCUAAGGCAUGAGGAUAAAAACAGUGAAAUAAUGGAUUGACACCUUUGACAACAAAUUAAUAUGGGGCAAAAACCUCUGGCACCGACUAGAUUUCACAAGUACAAACAUUCACAGGCUGCAGUGUUGCUUUACAGAUUUCGAUUAGCUAAUGGAAAGGAUGAGUUUAAAUGUUUAAUGACUAAAAUAUACUAUCAAGAGAAAAAAAAGACAAAAUUAUGAAUAAAAUACAUGGCAUUGUAGUUUAAUGACUCAAGCAAAUUUUUAAAAACUAAAAAAAAAUAUCACCAGUGAAUAGGUGCGAUGCCAAAAAAUAAAGGUUUUAUCAGUGCCAUGAAGUACUAAUAGCUUUUUUUUUUAUUAAAAAAAAAAAAAAAAAAAAAAAAGGAAUAAAACCGGAAAUGUAAUAACUCACACAAAAUGUAACAAGUUACUACAUUUUGCACAAAAAAUUAUAACAUUUUGGGCUUAGCUUCUUGCUACAUGAUCAACCAUUUUUAUUAAAUCAGAGUUCGUAUGCUAGUAUGGAAAGUAUGGGAAAGUAUGGAGGUAAUUUGAUCAAUUUCCAGGUUUUAAAAAGUAUGGUAAAUGAAAAAUAAAGUAUGAAAAAAUAUUUAUGUUAACAGACUAUAUUACCACUGUUAUAAAAUAAUGUUUUCUAAAAUAGAAAAGUAGGUAUUUCCAAAAAUAAUUCUAAAAGUACAGUAUGGAAAAGUAUUGAAAUUCCAACUGGGUAGGAACCCUGUUGAAUUUUGGGUCAUUGUUAGAUAUUGGGCUCAAACAACCUCAUACUCCUGUUUUAAACAGGACCAUGAUCGCUGGGUUGUUAGGGCAGUGUUACAGUUACAGUGUGUAACUUUAAAGUCAAGGUCAGGAUCAGGGCGAGAGCUGAAACUCUCACUUCUGAAAAUAUUUAUUUGAGCUGGUCUCUGAACAGUGAGUUAUAAAAGGCUCCGAUGACCAUGGAAUAUUAUGCAUUUAGUUGAAGAUUUAUAUGUAAUGCAAUGUUCCCAGAGAGACCACUUUUUAUGCUUAAAGCAAAAAACAACAGACCACACUAACACUCAACGCCCACAUCUGUCAACUCUUGGCCUGUCUCAUUAUCUAAGGGUGUUUACAGCCAAAUUCUGCAGUGUGACUUUUGCUGUGAUUUCAUUCAGAAUUAAUUAUAAAGUGUAAGCCACCUCGCAAAAAAGUUGUGUUCAUAAACAACAGAUUUGCAAUCUCAACUUUAUCACCAUUUGUGGUGAAAUGUUGUUAAAUAUCCAAUUUGUAAAGUCAUAAAUUGGUUUAUGCGAAUCUUAUCCUAAAUCUGAUUGAUGGCCAGUUAAUUUGUUAUUUCUAUUAAUAUACAGACAGUCUAGGAAUGGUUUUCCAGUGCCUUUUGAACAUACAGUAAAAACUACAUUUAAGUGAAGAGCUACAUCUGCUCUCCCUGGUUGUGCUGAGUGAGGACUCAGCUAAAACAAUGAUUCAGUUUGGUUUGCCUCAUUACACAUCUGACAUGUGGGCAGUUCACUUUGUUCAAGGGUAAGAUUUACCAAAUGCUUGCUUGCACUGUUUUAUGUCUCACAAUUUGUCUUGGGGAGCAAAUAAAAAAGCUACAAGCUUGUUGUGUUUGUUCAAGCAUGGCUGCUCAUCCAUCUGUCAGGGAAAGGCUCUAUAUUACCUUGAUCAUUUCAUUUUGUUAACACAAAAAUCAGCCGCUGCUGCUGGGGGAUAUGAAUCUACCAAGGACAGGAGAAGAAGAAAUGUAUGUAUGAAUGCCCUUUUUCAUGUAAUCACUGAUUCCAUGAUGUGACAUUUAUUUCAUAUUUAUGUUUUUUUGGUGUCAACUAAAAAAAAGGAAACAUUGACUGUAUUUUCUUCCUUUAUAAAAUGUUUGUUUUGAGUAGAGCUCCACAGAAGGUACAUUUUGCUAAGUGUUUUGGAUCUUAAUUUAGUCCUAUUCACUGGGGGAUGAUUGAUUCCUCCCAAAGUCAAGGUGACAUUAAUUACAGAGGUCCUCUCUGAUUGGGUAACAAAAGACGGUAACAUUUACUGAUUGGUUUGUGUUUGUCUGUCUGGAGGAAAAGACUGUGAGGUGAGCCAGCUUAUUUUUCCGACUUAUAAUCAAUUUUCCGCUUGUUGUCUGCAAAGCGUCUUUGGCAAUAUACCAUUUUUUCCUCUUCUGAGAUUUCCUUUGGUCACUGGGUGGAAUAAAUUCUUCUGAAAAAAUCACCAGCAGCCAUAUUUACCCGACCUUUUCACCAACACUGCUUACCGUCUGCACACACACAAAGCUGUCGGUGAUGAUAUGGCACCUCCUCUUUAAAUGAUGGUAUAACCAAACUAAUUAAUUAAAUAUGAAUUAGCUUAGAGUAAGAGUAAUGACUGUAAAAAGGGGUAUAGCUAUGAAAAAAUCAGUCUCAGCAAGGUAGGACAGGUUCAUCUUGUGAAAUGUCAAUUUACAAACCUAUAAAGGGUCAAUAAAUUAAUCACAUAACAUCAUCCAUUUCUGAUGAUUUUUAUUUGUGCUUAAUUUAUAUCAACCCCUAUGACAGACACUUAUUUCGAAAAGAAAAUUAUGCCUUAUUGGCCUGCAGUUAGGUUGUUUUAUUUUCCAUACUGUAGAAAAAUGCUUUCAUUUUGAAAUGAAGUAACCUGUAUGCACUACUUCUGGUAGAUCCUGUAUUACAGAACUGAACCAGGGCUUAAAAGUUGCUUAGAGAGUAGGAAUGUUUGUUAAAUUAGCACUCUCAAAAAGGCGUAAGGUCUUACAAAGUUUUCAGGUUACCACUAAAUCUUAGAACAUGAAUUCUUUUAAAUGUCUGCCCAUCUCUUAAAGGGCAACUUUCACUAGCUAGCAUGCAAGCUGUUUUCUGGCAACAAGCAAAAAGAAUCAUCUCCCAUCGACAACAGAUUAAAAAGAGGUUAUUGCCAUUACCUCUAUAUUUCUUCGUCCACUAAUUCUAUCAAAAACUAAGGUUCUCACCAGAUUGUCAACAGGAAGAAAUUCAGUCUUAAUAUUUUAGAAAUUUGCUGUUCUUCUUUUGGUGGAUUGAUUAUAAGGUGAAGUUUGCAAGAAUUUCUUUUCAAUUAUUCAGUUGUAAUGCUACUCAGUCAUCACCCAUGGGCCUCUGAGAGGUGGUGACUGUGCUCAGAGACUCUUUCCUCUUCCUGUAUUUUGAUGUUUGGCUUGACUCAGGAUGUUUCAGGGCGAGGGAGUGGGCCUGGUUACCUCAGCCAAUGACAACAUGUACAGUGCACAAGUGACUUUGGGAGUUAAAGAAUCUGAUUGGACCUAAUUCAAACUAUGUAAUAUAGUCCAAAUGAAAUCAAGGCUGUUUUUCCACACAGAAUUAUGCUUGUCUGAUGUGAUUUGGCGGUCACAUAUAAGGAUUUGUUGCUUCAUACUUUUUAUAUAUGUGGCUUAGUCCAAUACUGGCCUUCCAAUUGGAAGUUGAGGUCAACUUUCAAGGUACAUAACAAAACAUCCCUCUUCAGGUAGCUGCAGCACAUCACCUGCCCUGCACAGAGUACUGGGUGGCUGAUGGAGCAUCACCUGCUCUGUCUUCUCUCACUUCCAUCACUGUGAGCUUUGUAGUGAUCCUUUGUAAAAUUUACAUCCUUAUUUUGAUUCUCUUUCACUGCUCUGUAUUCAAUAACACAGCAGAAAAAAGGGACUCUUAGCCACUAAUGGGCUGUGUUAUGAAAUGAUAUAUAAUCUAAUAGCCACAAGGGGAUAUUUACUAUCAAUCUUUUCAAUAAUCUGCCAGAUGUUAUAAGCACAUAUUUGAGGAAAUAUUCUUGCUGUGUAUAUUCAGAAGUUUCUAUUAUUUCCUAACCACUCUACAAAUAAGUCAUGCAUGUAUAACAAAAACACUACGCCAGGUAACCCAAACUGAUCCCUGCGUGUGCCUGUCUCUGCUUUGUUCUGACCUGGGUUUAACCGGGCCUCACUUCCUCCACAGCGUGCCCUCACUUGGCCUUUACACAGGUGCUCUGCUCAUCCAUGAGACAUGAGUGGUUUAUGUCAGAAGACAAGACUACCUGCUCCGAAAUAAAGACACUGAGCUGUAUUGCUGUUGGCUUCUUGACAGAAAACAAAGCAGUGCAACUAGGCUGUGUUGUUGUCUUGAUAUAUAAUUGUUACUCUGUCUGCCAGCGGCUGAAGGUGAAACGCUUAGGCUAUUUGUAGCAAAUAACACAGCUGUUAGCAUAGCCAUCAACCAAAUGCACAUUGUCAUUUGAAAAGAUAAUAGAUUUGCUAAAAUAUUUACCUCAUUACUGUUUUCCAGCAAAAAGUCAAGUAUAAGGCUUUUAAAUCCUUCCGCAUUGCAAUAUGAUGCCACACAUGGUUAAAAAGCUAGGUGGGCGUGUUCAGAGGCAGAGUGAUGGGGCGGAGCUACAUUUGAAUGUUUAUCAACAUUACAAAAGUCAAUCAGUCCUGCAGACUCCACCUUUAAUAUUUUAUGUGUUAUCAGGGCUAUGUCCUGGCUAUUUGGCAUUAAACUCAUUGUCAAGAGGUUAUGACUAAUCAAGAUAAGGUACUUAACAUAGCUGGGUGUGGCACUAGCUUGAAGACUUUGAAUUUAGACACUUGAUAACAGUUUUUUAUAACCCCAAUCAAAACUACUUUGUGGCAUUCUCAAUUUCAUCAGAAUAUAAUCAUCAUCAUUUCCAGCCUUUUCUUCUCAGACUGGCUCUUUGCCAAUGUUUAAGAAACAUAUGUUUUCUGCACAUUUGCUCCUUCACCUAUUUAAACCUGUGAAUCAUCACCUAUUGCUGAACUAUCUGUUGAAAUAACGACCCUAAAUGUAGGGCUGGCCGAUAAAACGAUAACAAUAUAUAUCAAAAAUUAAUUUUCUUCAAUUUCGAUACAAGACAUGGUCAACAUCCUUUUCAAUCGCAGGCAUUCUGCAAUGUUUUGGUAGACUAUGCAAAUAGCCAAUGAAAAGGGGAGUUGCUCCGGGUUCGCUUCGCACUGAACCAAUCAUGUGCUUUAUUAGAACCAAGUAACAAACAACUGUGUAGUAGCAGGCUGCAGCUACACGUAACCAUAGCACUUUAACACGUGAAGCCAAGAGCACUGAAAGCCAACCACGGUUUGCUUUUUCUAGCGCAACGCAUUUUCACAAAACGUCUAAGAGACACAAUUUUUUUUUAUAUUGUGAUAUAUAUCAAUAUGGACUGAUAUGAAAAAAAUAUAUUGUGAUAAACUUUUCCUCAUAUUGCCCAGCCCUACCUAAAUGGGCUGCUAGAUAUGUUUAACACAUGCUUUCAUAUUAGCAAUGUCAUGCUGUGGAGUGACGGUGACAUAAAGGGACACUUUAUACACCAUGUAAUUUUUUAAAAUGUUUACGGUUUUACUUUCAGCACAAGAGGACAUGCAGUGAGUCUCCUUCAUUUUUCUUUUUAAUUUAACUCAACCAUUUAUGUUGGCAAAUAUUGUAGGAUGCACAUACCUUUUUAAAAAAUGUCAGUAGUAUUUGAAAUAAGAUAAACCCCCCACAUCAAAUGGUUACUGUGUUUGCAACAUGUGCUAAGAGUGAAUAUAAAGGCUUAGAAGCAAAACUGACAGGAAGCUAUAGUUUUAUUGUCCAAUAUCUUUGUUCUUGAUGCCUCAUCACUUUAAAUUUUCAUCAAUACUUUCCCUGACAUUUAUGCCCUUUGAUCAGCAUUUCGUGUAUAAAUCUUUUUGCAGGCUGGUGUAGGAUUUGCUCGUCUUUGAAGGCUUUGAUUCAGCUCCCACACAUGAGCCUGAUAUUACAGGAAACGGAUUUCGUGGAAUUGCAACCAGCAAUAAAAAAAAGGCCAAGAUCUAUUAAGAUAAGACGUAGAUGAAAGAUAAUAUAAAACUUAAAUGAUCCCCGUUGGGAAAUUAGGUCAGAUACCAGAACGCAUUAGGCGGCAAUAAAAGACUUACGGCAUGAAAUGUGAGAAAAGCAGUGAAAUGGAAGUGUGUGUAAAUGGCUGUACAAAACUUGUGCACACACACACACUAAAACUUGUAAUGUACACACUAAGUCAUUUACAAAUACAAAAAAAAAUUGUCAAAAAGUAUCAGAGUAACAAAGACUGAGAAGCUGUUCAGUUUCCCCUUUUACUACAACAUGAGGCACAUAGAAGAGCACUUAUUUGCAAAUCUAAAAACUUAUAUCAGUGUCUAUAAGAACCCUAAUUUUAGCACCAUCCAACCUCCACCUAUGUUUUGGCUGUUUUUCAAGUGAUAUUGAGUAAGACACAGCUUGUGGGUGUUACUUUUUACACAGCUUUGUAAUUGCAAAAUGACUAAAAAGUACAGAAAAUAUCUGAGGCUAACCACCAGCUGAAUUUAUUUGUCACUAUCAGGUCGAUGGAGUCAGUCUCCAAUGCCGUAGUGAUAUCUCGCAAUAUUCAUUUCUUCUUAAGGACAUAAUUCAUAAAGCAAUUCAUCCAUUAUGCAUGCCACUUAACCUGUUAAAGGUGGCAGGCUGGAGCUGAUUUCAACAGGGGACACCUGUCACCAGUCACAGGGCAUGAAUAAUCAGUAACACUCAAUCUAACAGAUCGGGGUGAUAAGCUUAUUUAAAUGGGCUCUGGGAGAUGACUUCAGGUUGCCAUGAUGUGACCAGUCUUACCGCACAGUCACAGGGAACAACAGUGUUAUACAUGGAGGACCUGAAACGGAGAAAGAAACCUAAGUAGAACUUUUGGAAAGUGCAAAUGAGGGACCACUGGACAUGAUCUUGGAAUAAUGGCAACACAUACUUUCAAUAAGCUAAGAUUUUUGACAUGGACUCCUGCGUAUUUCUAGGUGUCUAACAGGUGUUUUUGUGUAAUGAAGAUGACACUGUGUGAACCUCACACCCCACAGAAGAGGUUUACCAGCUGGUCCCAGUACACAGACUGAUUUAAGUCCUAUCAAUCAACCUUUUUACUAUUAAGACCUCCCAGCCUGCAGUGCCUCUCCUAGCAAAGAGUGGUUAAAGUUUAACAGUCACAGAAUAAUAUCUGACUGAGAAGGAAAUCAAUCUAAGAAAGGCAAAGUAACUUGUUGUUAGCAUGUUGUUAUCUGUGUACUGAGUCCACUUGCCUCAGGUUAUGCUACCCUCAAAACAUGCCCCAUGGACUUGGGCGCACACCUAUAGAUGGGGCAAAACUGGAAACACAUGAUUGGUGGGUUUUUGGAGUUGGCCUUUUCCCUCCUUUCUGAACACUUUUCCUUCCGUCUUUAUCUUUCAUUAUCUCUGUUUAGCUCCUACCUCAAUUUUUUGUUUGUUUAGAGCUUUACAACUCUUAAAUGUUUUUCAUACAUAACAGUCUAGUUCAAGUCUGUAAUUUAUUCCUUUUCAAGUUCCCAAAGGUAGUUUUGAAAGUAGUACCAGCUGGCGAGCAUGAUCAUUUUCUUACUGAUCUGCAGGAGUUAGUCUUUUUAGAAGUUUGACUAUCUUUGGGACUACAACAAAACCCCCCUCCAAGAUCCAGCUUUAUGAACCAGAACCAGAUGCAUAGCCAAUACAAGGCAGAUCGGAGUGGCAUCAGCAGUAAUGCUGACGUUUAACCGAUCUGUCGUGGUGAAGAAAGAGCCAAGCCUAAGGCGAGAUUCUCGAUUUACCAGUCGAUCUACAUGCCGGCCCUCACCUAUGGUCAUGAACUUCGGGUAAUGACCGAAAAUGACCCAUUUCAAGCAGCUGAAAUGGGUUUCCUUCGCAGGAUGGCCAAGCUCAGCCUUAGGGAUAGGGUAAGGAGCUUGGACACUAGGGAGGCCCUCAGAGUAGAGCCGCUGCUCCUCCACGUCAAGAAGAGUCAGCUGAGGUGGCUCAGGCAUCUGGUUAGGAUGCCUUCUGGACACCUCCCAUUAGAGGUGUUCCGGACAUGUCCCACCGGGAGGAGACCUCGUGGCUGGCCCAGGACCAGUCGGAGGGAUUAUAUGUCUCGCCUGACCUGGGAGCACCUGGGAAUCCCCCCUGAGGAGCUGGUGGAAGUAACUGGGGUGAGGGCUGUCUGGGCUUCCCUCCUGAAGCUGCUGCCCUAAUGACCCAGACCCAGAUAAAUGACGGCGCAUAGCUAAUACAGCCUUAAUUUUUGCUUUGGCUAUGAAUGGUCUGAUUUGUUAUUGUGCACACUAUCAUGAAAACUAUGCUAUUUCACAGCCGUAAUGCCGUCGUCAUGCAUCAGGCCUCAAGACAGCUUUGUGAGCGAACAAAUAGGUUAGUAAAUUAGUAAAAUAGUUGUCCUUCUUCUUACUUUCACCCUAAAUGUUUCCUCAAAAACAUGACCACACUUUGGCAAUAUUCGCACACUUGUGCCCCACUCAUGCUCUGUAUAUGACCUGACUCUUGUAUGUAGAGUAAAACAACUCUCUAUUCCUGUUUCAUGAUAACUUUUGAUAAAAUUCCUUUUUUCAUGAUUCACAAGAGUGGAGUUUGGAUGUCCCCUCAGCUGUGAUUUUCAAAAACACAGCAUAAAAAAAAGGGGGAUGAUAACAGCCUCCCAUCUUGUUUGUUGUUGUCAAGGUUACUCUCCUCAUUCAUCAUGAUCAGAUGCCACUUUGUAUUGACCGUGUCACUCAACGUGGAAAUCAGAAGAGAGCAACUCAAACUUCACACUGAGAGUGAAGUUAUGAAUUGAGGGCACCCUCAGAUACUCUGUGCUCUCUUCCAUCUCCUUGGUGUCUCUUGCUGGUAAUUUAGUCAGGAAAUUGCUUUGUAUUUGUUUAUGAACCAUGCAGUCCCAGGUGAGAUUAAUCCAAAAGGAGACACAACACAAAAGAAGGUCGUCCACCUGUGGUGAUGACUGUUGUUUCAGUGUCUUAGUUUUUCCAGCCUUUCUCUUUCCCUCUCUCCAUUUCCACUUCAGAAAAUUCAGACAAGGAAUACUAAUCAAGCUGUAUCAUAGCACCGGAGGAUUGACCUGCUCAGGAUAACACUGAAAUUACUCUUCACCUUUAUAGAACAGCCGGUGCUCAAGGUCCCUCACACCAUCCCAGCCUCUUGAUAAUAUAGAAGAUAAUCCUGCAUGCGCCUACAGAUCUGCAGAGAGGCUUAUUUUCUUGUAAUUGGCAAAUGAAAAGGUGAUCGCAGCACUCAAUCUUCCCAGGGGAUUUCCUCUUGCUCUCCAUGUCUGUCAGUUAUAUUCUGAUUCAUCAGGUUGACCUUUCAGUGUUCAGGCCUGAGUAGUUAUUAGAAGAUUCAUCCCUGACCCUCACAUCUAUUACGGCCAUCGUAUAACUGUCGUCUUUUCCAGCAGCCCCUGAUGACUGAAACACAAUCUGCAAUUCAAUUUUACAGUUUUAUUAUCAUGUAGAAAAUAUGAUGAAGGCUGUACCAAGGCUGCUUUUUUAUGCAACUGCAAUUUUACAGUUGAAUUUCAAUAUUCAGACAGAACAUAUAAAAGGUUGUUCUCAUUCAUUGUUCAGACUACCAAGAGUAAUGAACUCAAAUUGUAAUUAUGCAAUAUUUCUAGUGAAUACUCAAACAUGAUUGACUGUAGGGAAAAUGGAGACGCACCACAUUUCUGAUAACUGACUGUGAAAAAGAUUAGAUUGCAUUCAUACGUAGAUAUCAGCAGGGUUACAUAAGUAAAGGAAUCAUUAUUUUCUAGCUUGUUUGUUCAGUUUUAGACCUGAUGCCCAUGAACCCACUGUAGGCAGGGGUCACUAGGUGCAUGAUUUCCACUGAGCAGUCUGAUACAGUUUAGUACAGUACACAGAUAUUUGCAUUUUCAUUUAAAAAGUUGGUAAAGUUGCCAAAUAACCGACCUGUACUGUCCUUUUUUUAUUUGGCAGCCUUCUGUCAGGGUUCCAGGCUUAUCUAUCUAAUCCCAACCUGCAAUGUUUGAGAAGGCGUUACACUGAAUUGUAACUUUCCUUUCCUGAUUUUAUACGAUCAUGAACUUUUGUACCUUCAUAAGUAAUGUCUGUUUUAUGCAUGCCUUCAUUUAUGUCAAAGGCAAUGCUGUUGGGGGUUUAUAUUUGAGAGUUUAAUUCAAAAACAGACACCAGCUGAGCAGAGAGGGGGGCACAGAGAUUAAUGCAAAAUGAGAAGGAGAGGAAGUCUGCAAAGGAUGAAAUAUUUCCUGUAGUCUGAUGUUAUUUUAAAGUCAACAUCGCUUGAUUUUACCAACAUGUAGCCAACAUGACAAAUAACUUUUGUCCAACCUAACGUCUGGUUCACACUGGAAGCGCCGCGCGCGGAACGGAAGCGCCGCGCACAGAGUUUCAGAUCGGCGCCCAUGUUAACCUAUGAGACUGUUCACACAGCACGCGCGCGGAAGCGCCGCGCGCGGAACGGCUCGCGCUCUGGAGCGCGGCUGCUCCGCUUCUCUCUAUUUUUGGCGCGAGCCGCGCGCGCCGAUGUAAAGCUCAACAGAGCAGAUCGGACCAGACAGGAAGUCAGGAAGGAGAUGCGAGAGAAUCCGGUCAAUUUUCAAAAUAAAGUAAAUUUCAAUAAAUUAGAAAAAGAUUGACGGUGUUGCUUGUCGGUCUAUUUUUUUUACCGAUGAACACACACACACAAACACACACACACACACACACACACACACACGGAGGGAGAGCUGCAGAGAUUCAGUGAUGUUAUUGAGACAAAGAGGGGGGGGACUUUAUUACGAUACAGUCAAUAGCCUCGAGCUAACAAGGCUAUACAUACAACGGAGUCAACAGACUCCCCAAUUUAUUCGUCGUUUACCCCUAUAUAAUAAUUUAAAACAAUACUUGAAGAUGCUGUCAAUAUUUAAUUCAUGUAUGACGAAAUAAAAACGUAAAUAAAUAGUGAUUUACCCAUUUUUAAAGCGCUCGUAAGUGUGGAAAACUGAGGGCAGACGGAAACGGCCGAGCACUACCGGGCUCAGUCGAUGUCUGACCGGCAUGUCAGAGCGCAGCAGAAAGCGCUUCCUGUGUGAACAGCCAAGCGCGAGCCGGCGCUGCGCGCGCGCGCGGCGCUUCCGUUCCGCGCGCGGCGCUUCCAGUGUGAACCAGACGUAAGUGCACCGCAGGCUUAAAAGGAAUAGCAAUACAACUUACCUCAUUCACCAUAUUAGGCACAACUUCGGGAUGAAGCAAGGAGAGAUCAACAUUCUGUAGGUGAAAUCACAAUACAUUUUUAAGGGUUAUGACAUGAACAUAGCGAAUACAGAAUGAAUUCAGCCUUAUAGUUUUUCUGCUGAGAUCCAUACAGCUUGCGGGAAAAAAAAUCUGGUGAGAUCUACUGCUCACACUUGCUGUUUUAAUGAUUUGAAAGGUUAGGGUGCAGCCUGCCAUGGUGACACAAUCAAGUGUCUAACUGUGCUCAUUCAAACUGUACCCUUUUGUGGAAAUGUACCAUAUAGUAGGCCUGAACGAUAUAUCGUUUGACUAUCGUCAUCGCGAUGUACGUGUGUGCGAUAGUCACAUCGCAGAGCCUGCGAUAUUGGAGGCGAAUGAACUCAUUUAAUUUCAAGGGUAACCGACUGAGAUACACUCCAUGUGACUCUGCAUGUGCUGUGCAGCGAUCCACCAAUCGCCUUCCUCCUUAACUCAGUUGCCAAUCAGACUCACUUCUCAGUUGCCAAUCAGACUACCCUGCCAGCUGUCAAUCAAAAUCAGGGCGGAGAAAACCCACCCCUGCACAUGUUCUGCACAUGGAGGGAGACGUGUGUCCGCUGAGAAUUACUUUCGGAACUUUACUCAUGACUGUUUAGCCCAACAAAUAAGAACUGUAUGGGUUUUAAAUUGUACAUUUCCGUGGACCACUCUACUAUAAGCAGUGCGCGUUUUGCGAGGUGCAUGCAAUUCUCGGAGGACAUGCGUUUCUCGGCACAACACCGCUAACAACAACAACAACGAUCGCAAAAUGAACAACGAACAAGCGAAAACCACCGAAAAUGAAGAUUUGUUGCCAAAAAGAAAAGGAAAGUCGGUUAUCUGGAAUUAUUUCGGUUAAAAGAAGGAUGAUGUCGACCAAAACACGUCUUCUGUGUUCACCUGUUGCCACAAUAACGUCCCAGCACAAUAAAAGCUAAAAAUAUCUCUGAGACAGACAGAAGCCGUUCUACUAACAUUCACAAAAAGAGGUAAGAUCAGAGCAGAUUAACUGUCCUCAAGAUUUCAGCAGUGCAGCAUAACUAUUCAGGUCAUCUGGUGAAAAUACUGUAUUUUUAAUAUCGCAAUAUAUAUCGCAGGGUUGAAAAAAUCGCAGUAUUAUUUUUUUCCAAUAUCGUGCAGCCUUACCAUAUAGUACAUUAUAUUCCGUUCAAUCAAAGCCAGCAUUCACUUUUCCAUAGUUUUGAGCUCCAGUAGUGCUCAGACCACACAGGGCAGCUUUCAAUAGGAACACUGAUCAAUUAGCCUUGUGUGCCCAUGGUGUUAAUACUUAACCCAUUUCCCUUAUUAUAUUAUUAUAUAUAUAUAUUUCUGGUAGAUAUAAGCAACUUCUGAAAAGUAAAACCCCACAAAAGCUGCUGCCAUGGAGGUUUCUAGCUCAGUCUUGUAUGCAUAUGAGGAGGUCUGAUGUCAUAUUACAGUUUAAGAUGAAAAGCACUGAAAAAGAGUGUUACAGGACAAACAUGGGAUUGAUUUGGGCUGAUUGAGGCAUUAAAAUGUGGC